rnacentral:lncRNA from 1 species
AUAAAGGGAAGUUGGUCAAAUUUUGGAAUGAAAUUCGUGAAAAUCUGAUUAGUACGGUCUCCCUAUCUUAGGGGCAAUUCCAAUUUCUAAAUACACCAAAUAAAGUAUUAACAUAUAUAUAAUACUCCAAAAUCAUUUAUAACUAUAACAAAAAAUUUAAAUACAAACCUAUCACUAUUUAGAAUUUAACGACCUAUAAUAAAAUUUAUGAAUAACAAAUUUUACUAUAUUUUAACACAUAUUCAAAAAAAUUUCUUCAUCUUGUAACUUAUAUCUAUAUAUAUAUUAAUAAUUUUAAUCGUCAUCACCAAAUAUAUUUAUAUGUGAUCGACUUGAAUAUAGUUCAACUCAUUAAAACAUUAUACUUAUAUUUUUGCUUGAGAUGUCAAAUAUUCUAUUUUCUCUCUUUACAACUGUGUCCAUGUAAGCAAUGGAAUCCAAUUACAUCUAAUACCCAUCUGUAUUUACUUCUCAAUUUAGAAUUACUUUCCUUUCCCAUUCAAUAUACCUAAUAAAUUACUUAUUGAUAUUAGAAUGCAAACUAUACCCAUAUACCCCAAUUGUGAGCAUCUCAACAAGAAAAAUUCUUUCAACGAUGAAUUGUUUUUUUAAUUAAAUAUUUUGAAGAUACAGUGGUAUUUUAUAAAAAGAAACAAAAUUUUGAGCAUUUUUUAUUGGUAAGAUUAGGUAGAUAUAUAUAAAGAUAUUUAUUUAUCAAUUCCUAUUAAUCAAUUUUAAUUAAUAAUCAGAAAGUUGGUAACAACUUUUUCUGUGGGUUUCUCUCGUAAUGUUUUAGAGAUAGAUAGGGUUUAGAGAAAGAAUAUGGAGAUUUGUAUUAGAGUUUACAAUCAUGAUUACAACAAAGAUAUGACUAAGCUUAAAUAUUAAAGUCUAAGGUCCAAUGGACUUGUGUACAUGUAAAAUAAUAAACUAAUACUGAUUGUUAAUUAACAUCAAUUAGCAUAUAUAAUAUAAACCUUAUUAAUACACAUCAAAACUACAUACUUUUAACCCUUUCAAGUAUGCAUUACUGUGAUUCUUUUUGUAACUUAAUUUAGCCUCCACUUUAAUAUUAUUUUGUUUCUAUAAACUAAAUUUAUAAACACUACUUGUCCAUAGGUUUUUAUAUUUUCUAAUUAUCUGUCUUCUAUAAACAAAUACAAAAACCAAGUUUUAGAAACUAAUUGAAAAACUAGUUUUUUUUAAAAAAUAUUUAUUUUCGUUUUUAGAAUUGAACAUUGAAAAUUUACCAUAAAAAAAGAGAGAAAACGAACUCAUUUUUCUUCUUUUUUUUUUUCUUUUUAAGAUAAAAUAAAAUAUUUAUAAAAUGAAGCACAUUACUUUUGUUGUUGUGUGUUCUUUUAAUGUCAUUUCUUGAAUAUAUUUUAGAAUUUUGAUUGAUUUUGAGUUAAUCUUGACCAUCUAUCUCACACGAGAACAAUAGAAAAUAUAAAUCUACUGUACAUAUCAAUUUGUAAAUACAAGCUAUUAAGGUUAAACAUGUUAACCACAGACGAUUAUUUUUAUGUAUCUCUAUAAUACUAUGAUACAUAUUUUUGAGUUUACACCUUUGUUUUUUAUUUCAUAAAAAAAUUAUACCAAUAAAUUAAAAAUAAUUGCCCCAUUUCAAUUUUCGAAGACAUUGUAUUUUCUCUACUGCGCCAUUGACACUACCCAGACCAUUUGUAUUAUGUUUGGUGUGUACUCAACCUAACAACUUUCCCUAUUAAGUCACACCCUACUUUUAAAAAGAAUAUGCUUUCCAUCAAAUGUUGAAAUUAAUCUUCGUAUAAAAUGGAUCUUUGGGAAUUAAAUUUGUUAGCUACCAACUUUCUGAUACAGAGAAAAAUAAAACUUAUUAUUUACAAAAGUAAUCUCUCGUAAUGAUCUAGGGCAUGAAAACUUGAGUAUUAUGUAUUUUCAAGAAAGACAAAUGAUAAAAACUACAUUGAUGAUAUAGUUGUAAAUGUAUACCUUCAAAUUUUUAAUUGGAAAAUCAAAGGUUAAAAUUGAACCCUUAAACUAAUUACAUAAUUGUAGGAAUGGUAACAAUUGUUUGCUAUGUCUAAAGAAUCAAUUUUUAUCAUUCAAGGUCCUACUCUUAAUAGAAGAAACAAAACACCUUUGAAGAUGAUGAGUCCACCUGUGCAUUAUUUUACAUGUUUAUAGAUAGUUCUUAAUAUAAAAAGAAAAGUUGAAAUGUAAGAACUAAAUUUAUAUAUAUAAAGAAAAAAAAAAACACAUGUUUCUAAAAAGUUUUAAAUUAAUAGAAAUUAGGUGGCCUAAAAAUUCCACUCCUUUUAUCUUCCUUCAUAGGUCAAGAAAAAGGGAAACCAACAAUUCUCCCUCUCUCCUUCGUAACAGAAGAAACACAUGUUCAAAAAAAUUGAGAUUUGGUAGGCUGCUUGCUUCAUGAAGAUGGUGAGUCCAAACGUGUGAGAAAGAAACACCGCACGUUCAUUUUACAUGUUUAUAGAUAUAAAUCUCUCCCAUUGUAAAUUAAACCAACACAAAAGUCUUUCCCUCCUCUUACCUGUUCUUCUUUUAGAGCAAAACCCUUAUACACGUAUUAUAACCCAUCCAUGGGGACCUCCAACGGCUUGAUUUUUAAGUGUUUUCCAGCGUCGUUGACGGAGUUUGAGGUGGCCAAAGUUUUCAAGAACCACGACAAGGAUGGAGAUGGAAGGUUGACCAAGGAAGAGCUGAAGAGCGCCUUCAAGUAUUUGGGCUACAAGUUCACCACCUUUAGAGUCCACCAAGCCCUCCACGCCGCUGACGACAACUGCGACGAUGUCAUCAGCUUUGAGGAGAUGAGUAAACUUAUUAUGUAUACCGCAGGUUCAUAGCUAUAUGUACUCUCUUGGUGCAAGACCGCAGUUUGUUUCCAGUCGUCAUAUAUUUCAAGUCCGUGUGACAAAUCUCUAGUCAGAGACAUAAGUUUAACCUUGUAAUUUAGCUUGAAAAACCAUUAUAUAAGUUGUUCCUAUAAGAUAUAACUAUUCACCUAAAUAUAUAAAAGCAACAAAAUGAAAUUCUGUGUAUAUGACACACAUGUACCUGUGCAGGUGCGUAAAAGUUCAUUUUGUUUGCUUAUAUAUGUAGCAGCAAGCACACAUGGCCAUGGAAUUUUGGGACUAGUGUCUAGAUUUAUAUCUCUUAAGACUAUUUUCUGCCCCAGUGAAGCAACCACAUGUUACAAAAACAAAUAAUAUCAGAACAAUGAAUAUCCUUUUUUUUAAUUUAUGGUAUAAAUACUGUCUACAUUGUCGCGACGUGAUCGCUACGCGGAGCGGCCGACCUCUCCGUUUAUUUAAUUUUAAUAAAUGAAUAGUUUUAGAGUCGCCACCAAUCAUAUUAAGGUGUGAUUGGUCACCCAAAAAAGAAAAAAAAUGGUCUACGUAAAUUAAAAAAUUUAAGUUCGGAAGUGAGUUGUGUAGGGAAGUUGUUACACCCUACAACACCCACAAAAUGGUUAGCCAAUUUUAUCUUUUAAAUUAAAUAUAGAGGUUCACAAAACAAAGUUUUUAUUUAGGUUUUGUUUAAAUGUCUCAUGUUUAUCGAUUCAUAUCGAAGAAGAAAGUAAAACCUAAGCAUGAAUUGAUAAUUAUUGGUGGCAUAAGAGCCAUUAGAAAAUGAAGGUUAUUUUUAUUUUAGAAGAUUUUUUUAUUCAAUAUUAAGAUAUUAAAACUUGAUAUUUUAAUCUCUAUCAUAGGUGUUUAAUGAGAAAUUUCAUGUAUUAAUAAAUUCAUAGAAAACACUACUCAAUCUCAUUUAAAAUAUGAAAUGUGUUUAUUUAAAAACAAUCUAUUAAUUAAAAUUUCAAACGGAAAAAUUUCAUGUAUUUAUGGAAUUUAAAUUAUAAAAUCCAUAAAAAAACAAUAUUUUUCUCCAAUUUACAUUUUUAUAUUUCAAUUGGAAAAUGAAUAAUAACAAUCACAAAACAUUAUUAAAUUUGAAAAAUAGUUGAAGGAUAAUAUGGUGAGAUAAAAUAAAUACAUAAAACAAAUACAAGAUAAUGUAAGUAAUAUGCAAAAUGUACAAGAUGAUUAAUUAAUGUAGGAUGCAAGAUAAUUAAUUAAUACAGAAUGAUGCAAAAUAAUUAAUUAAUUCAAAAUGAUGCAAAAUAAUUAAUUAAUGCAGAAAGAUACAAAAAUAAUUAAUUAAUGCAGAAACAGAAAUAAGCAAAAUAAUUAAUUAAUUCAAAAAUAGGCAAAAUAAUUAAUUAAUUCAGAAAUAUAAAAAACAAUUAAUUAAUUCAAAAAUAUAAAAAAAAUAAUUGAUUAAUUCAGAAAUAUGCAAAAUAAUUGAUUAAUUCACAAAUAUACAAAAUAAUUAAUUAAUUCAGCAAUAUGAAAAAUAAUUAAUUAGGCCAAACCAGAUUAAUGAAUAAUUAAACGAGGAUGUCAAAUGGAUAAAAUAAUAAUUAACUGCAAGAGUGCCAUAAUAGGUUUAAUGCAAUAUGACCAUAAAUAAUCACAGUAGCCAAAUGAAUGUCAAAUAAUUUAAUAUAUAAUGCAAAUAAUUCGAACGAGUAAUUUACAUAAGAGGCCAAAUGAGUGCCAAAAUAAUUAACGAUGUGCAAAUAAUUAGCCUCCAAAAAUUAAAACUGUCAAAUACAUGAUACUAAUUAAUUAACCAUGUAUAAUUAAGAGUGUAUGUCAAAUGAAUAAUUAUUUUCAAAUGCAUAAUUAACACAUAUGUCAAAUUGAUAAUUAUUAACGCAAGAUACCAAAUGGAUACACCCAAUUAACGAAAAAUGUAAAAUGGGUGGCUAGAUAAUUGAAAAGAUAGCAAAUAAUUAAAUCAGUAUGCCAAAUUGGUGUCAAAUGGGUGCUAAAUAAUUAAGACAGCAAUCAAUUAAUUAACACAUCAUUUAAUUAAUUAACCAAAUGAAGUAAUUAACAUAGCACCCAAAUGGAUGUCAAAUAAUUAAUCCAUAACAGAUUAAUUAAGGUAGUAGCCAAAUGGAUGCCAAAUAAUUAAACAGAUGCAAAACAACUAAUUAAUCAACCCAACAAUCAAAUAGUCAAAUGAGUAUCAAAUUAAUUAACUAUAUGCAUGCAAUCAAAAUAGUCAAAUGGCCAAAUGAAUGUCAAAUAAUUAACUCAAGAUGCAACAAAUUAAAAAUGUCAAAUAUGACAAGUGCUAAUUAAUUAAUAGGUCAAAUGAAAUAUGUGUAUUGUCAAAUAUAGGAGGCUAAUUAAUUAAUCAUGCAUAAUUAUUAAUGCAGAAAUAGGUGUAAGUAAUUUACACAUAAUGAAUAUGAGAUGGGUGUCAAAUAAUUAAAAGAUAUCAAAUGAGUGUCAAAUGAUUAAAAGGAUGCAAAUAAUUAAAAGAUGUCAAAUGAUUAACACAGCAGCUACGAGUGAUUUAAAUGAAUAAUUAAGACAACACCCAAAUGAGUGCCAAAUAAUUAAGGCAGUAUCAUCAAGCAUGAAUAAAAGAAAUUAACUUAUAGAUCUGCCUUAAAUGCAAAAAGUUAUAUAUUCAUCAUCUUCACCUCUUUCUAAAAAAAUUUCUUUUACGUGUCUCUCUUCUCUAUCAAAUAAUCCUCCCAACAAAAAAAUUCUCCUAGCACCAAAAAAAUUCCAGCAAAAAAUUCUCUCAUUCUCUCUUUAUAAGGCAAUGUCUCAUUUUUUAGAUAGAAGUGGAGUAGUUUUAGAUAGUGAAGUGAAGUACGGAAAGGUGGAAGAGUGAGAGAACGUGAUAGAUUGAGAGAAAGUGGGAACGUAGUGAUCAAGAAAAACAAGAUGGUUGAGAAAAACAAGAAGAGAACAAAAACUUUUACUUUUACUUUUAAAUUUUAAAUAAGUUUUAUUUUUGUUUUUGUUUUAAAACAUAAAUUUAACUUAAGAUUUAAAAUUUAAAAUUUAAAUUUAAAUUCUUUUAAAAAAUAAUAAAAACAAAAAAACAAAACAAAAUACGAUAUCUACACACAUAUGUAAAAUGGCACCCUACAAAGGGUCUCGUACCCUUCAAAAAUUUACCCAUAUUUCAAAUUGAAAUGGGAGGAAAACUUAAGCCAGGGUAUAUAACUCAAAAGGAUACAAAAUCUCAAAAAUAGUUUUUCAUUGCAAUGAUAAUAUCUUGAGUUUCUUUUUAGGAAAAUUGCAAUGGAAGACUAUUUUAGAAAUAAUAAUUAAGAAUAUAGCAACAUUUUAAAAAAAUUACAAAUAUAGCAAAACUAUCACUGAUAGACUUGUAUCGCUGAUAGACUUCUGAUAGAACUAAGUCAUGCACAGCGGAAAAAGAAUCGAAUUUCUACCCUAAUUGCCAUAAUUAACAUGUAACCAUAAACUAAUCAAAUUAGAGUUUUAAGAAGUAUUACCUUUGAAGCUUUCAAAAGGUUUGAUGUCUUCUUACCAAUUCUACCCGAGACCACCACUAGUACUCAACUGCUAUCCUCUAGACAAAGAACCGGGUUGUGGGACCCAAUUUUGGUGUAGAAAGUAAUGGAGAUAAAAUGAGAUUGGAAGCUUUCUUUUUUCUUUUGUUGAGAUGAUGAAAAUGAUAAAAGAGGCAAAAGUCUUUCAACAUUUGAAAACAUCUCUAUUUAUAGCCUAAUUACAUGCAAAAAUGCAUGCAAUUCAAUUGCCAAAUCUCAACACCUAAUAUUCCACUAACAAUUAGUGGAACUUAGUGGGCUAGGUGUCUAUAUCUCAUAUAGCCACAUAUCCCACUAAGAGUUAGUGGGAUUAUCCAACAAAAUGUUGGAUUUUCCCACUAACUUAGUCCAAGGGUAAAAUGGUCAUUAGAUUUUUCUAGUCAAAAGUCAAACUUUGACUUUUCUAAGUCAAAAGUCAAUAUUUUGACUUUUUACCAUUUUGUCCGUCUUGACUAAUUCCAACCUCCCGAGCAUGAAUCCGCAUUCAUUUUUCCAAAAUUCAAAUCACAUUUGAAUAUAAGGCCGGUCAAAGUUUGACUUUUCAAAGUCAAAAGUCAACAUUUUGACUUUUUACUAUUUUUGACCAAUUCCGAGCUUCUUAGUAUGAAUCCGCAUUCAUACUUAUAGUAUGUAAAACAUAAAGCUCUAUUUCUAAUUAGAAGACCGACGAUUAUAUCACUGUAUAUGUCGGUUUUCCUUUCUUCUCCCUAUUCGAACAAUUCGACUUAUUUCAUCACACUGUUCUAAGUUUAAUCCAUAUGAGCUAGCAGAGGAACCUAAUGGACCUAUAGAUCAUGGGCUCCAACGAUUCAAGAUUAACUAGCUAAACUCUUUUAAACCGAGUUAAUCAACAUUCGUUAACUAACGGGUCAUUCCACUAAAGUCCCGUAGUUGCACUCCCCUCACUAUAGAUAUAUUUGUGUCCAUUUGAUAAAACCAUAAUCAGUAAGUUAAUCCUUCACAGGUUGCUCGUAACCUUGGCUGGGUCAAAAUACCGUUUUACCCCCAAGAUUACAUCUUGCUCCUUAAGUCCCACUAAUCCACUAUUGAACAAUUGGUUUAAGGUUCAACCUAUAAACUUAAUCCCUCUCGGGCCAAUGAGAGGGUGGGGCCCCUUGUUCAAGACUUGGAUUCAGUGCUUAAGAGAGCAACCUAUCUACUAACCCUAAAGCGGGUAGGAGUGAAUUCCAUCUUGUACCCUAUGUUCCCAGCUAUCCACCCGAUCUUACCCCUGAAAUGGGAGGCUUAUUGGGCCAACGCUGAUGAGCUGCCCUCACCUAUGCAGAUCUAAGGAUAAUCUCGUAUGAACAGGAGUUCAUAGUUAACUCAGGAUUAAGACUAAGUUACCUAGGUCAUCAAUAAUUGAGAUAGUCAGUUUUAAACAGUAAACGGUGUUAUAACGUAAAAAUGACUAAUUCAUGGUUCAGUCUUAUGUAAACAUUUUACAUAGGAUGCCCCCACUUUCAUGUCUCUACAUGAACGAUUAGGAUCACAUCGUUUGUACUACAAAGUGGGCCGCAUCCAUAGUCUCUCAAAAUAAGGCGCCCAACCUUUAUUUCAUAUACUAUAGACUAUUUAGGCUAUAUACUCGAACUUGAUCCACGUUUAUGUUUACACAUAAAGUUCAAGUUUAUUCAAAAAAUAGCCUUGGAACUUUGAUUUAUUGGAUUUAAGAUUAUAAUAUUUAAUUUCUCAAUAACAACUUUAUUGAAUAGAAUAUGAUUUACAAACUACGAGUUUUAGGACAAAAAAUUCCAACAACUUCAUAUGAUAUAUCAGUGAUAGACCAAUAUUUGCAACAUGAUCUAUCAGUGAUAGACUUAUAUAAUUGAUAGAAUUUAACGAAUUUUGCUAUAUUUACAAAUCUUUUAAAAUUAUACUAUAUACUUAAUUAAUUUAAAUUUAAUUGUUAAAUUUACAACUCCAGUAGUUUUCUAACAUGAAGAUUUAAAAAAAAGAUGAUAUGACAAUAAUAAUUGCGUGAAUUGGGUUGCUCAAAUUUUUACAAUCCAAAACCCAAAACAAACACAGGGUUGUCACGUUGCCCAAUUAUGAUUGGGCCUGAAAGAUAUAGGUGCAACCAAUUUGGACCCAUAAAGGUAAAUUCAAUAUUUAUAGUUAGUAAUUUUAUAAAUAAUAAUUAAGUAUAUGAUAAUAUUUUAAAAAAUUAUAAAUAUAGGCAAAACUAUUCUUAUAUUUGUUUUUAAUUAUAUAUUGUUAAAUCACCUUAACUAAAUUAUUGUUAAAUCACCAAAACUAAUUUUUUUAAGGUGCUAUAUCAGGGUAAAUUUAAAUAUUAUAGUAAUACUCCAACAAUCAUGACUAUUUUUAAUAGGUUUGGCUAACUAUGUCCUGUUAAAAAUAUGUGAUUUUGAUAUAAUACAUUUUUAUUUUAGAGAUGUUUGUUUUUUUGUUUUUUUGUUUUUAAUUUCUAUCUGCAAAUUAUUGUAUCUCAAUGAAGAGUUUUAUUGCUGUCAUAAAAUAAAAAAUGACAAAGGGGCUAAAUAACAUAACAUAUCUGAAUAAUAAACUAUAAAAUUAAUAAACACAUUAACAAGACUGAUAUUUUUGGUUAAAAAAGGCAAAGGAACGUAACAUCAAAUCAUAGGGGGGCUUAAUUAAUUGAUAUCAUAAAGUGUAUUUACAUGAUAUUGACGACAUAAAAUAAUCAAUAACAACAAAUUUAAUUAUCAAUUAUGUUAGGAAGGAAUUAAAUUCUUUUACUUUAGAGUUAACAUAUAUAUAUAUAUAUAUAUAUAUAUAUAUAUUUCCGAAUAUAUUAAAUUAUUCUUAAUCGAUAAUCAUUGAGUUAAUUUUUAAUCUAGAGGAUAAGAACAUGAAACUUAUCUUGGAAAAGAAAGGCAGAGAGAUGCUUACCCCACGAAUCUUUGUCAAAUUGGAAAAAAAUCGAAUAAAUACCAUAUGUUGAAGCUUGGGAUAUCUUUUUUAAUAUCUACUAUUCUUUACCAAAUAAUAAAUAUACAUAUAUAUUAUACCUACCUAUUUUUAUUUACGUAUAUAUCUUUUUUUAAAUAUUAAUAUUAGUAAUAAUAUUUUAAAUUAUUUAUUUAUUUUAAAAAUGUAAAAAAAUUAGUAAUCAAUUUAUUUUUAAAAAAAUCUUUUAAUAUCAUAUUUAUACUAUUUUAGGUAAAACAAUGGAUUCGUUUUAAAAUAAAAUAUUAUAAUAUCACUUUUAUUCUUUUAAGUAAAAAGAAAUCUAAUUUUAAAUUAAAAAUCUUUUCAUUUUCAUUUGAUUUAUUAAUUUAUUUUUAAGAGAAUCUCAAAAUAUCUAAUUCAAUUUAUUCAAGAAAAAUAAAAAUUUGUUUUAAUAUUAAAUUUUGAUUUUUAUUCUUAUUAUUUUUUUUCUAAUUUACCGUACACCCCAGUGUAUAAAAUCUUAUUUAUUUUUUUCUUAUUUUUAUCUUGAUCUUUAUUUUCUUUACUCUAAUAAUAUAAAGAGAAUAAGAUUAUGUCAUUAUUAUUAAAAAAUAUAUAUUAUUGUUAUUGUACUUAUAUUUAUAUUUUCUACUGUUUUUUAUUAUUAUCACUAUACUUUUAUUAAUAUUUUUUUUAUAUUACUAGUUAUUCUCUUUUAAUUUCUUCUUAUUAUUACUAUUACUUAUAUAUAUUUAUAUAUAUAACUUAUUAUUGUUAUGUGUAUUAUUACUUUUUUUCUUUUAUUAUUAUUAUGGGUGGCGACCCCUCUAUUUAAAAAAAAAUCUUUUUCUUUCUCUUUUAUUUCUUCUUUCCCUUUUUAUAUUAUUAUUUAUUUAUAUAAUUUUGUUUUUUAUUUAUUUUAACUUAUUUUCAUUGCACGUUAACAUUGUAUUUUAUAUCAAUUUUUUAUAUCAUAACAUUUUAUCAUUCUAAAAAAAUCCGACGAUCAAAUUAGAAAUAUCUGGAGGUCAGUUAUUUGGGAGGGCAAGAUUCGAUUUCCAAUAUUAUUUUAAAAUUAAAAUCUUAUUUUACUUGCUUAAUUCGUUGUAUAAUAUAUUUGAUUCCAUUAUGCAUUAUUUACUAUUGACCUAAUUUUCAAGACCUUUCUUAAAUUUCAUUUUUUAACCGUUUAUAAAUUUUUACUUUAAAACUAUCCUUUUUAAUCUUUUUUAAAAAAGGUUUAAAAUAUAAAUCUAUAUUUGAUAAGUUUUCCCUAAUCAACUUUUUUAAUAACCCACUUUUAUUUUGCUAAAAAUUUCCUAUGAUGAAAUCUAAGAAAUUUGAAAGUUCGAUUUUCUAGAAUUUUUAAUGUGAUGGAUCACAUUUUUAGAAGUCCAAGAUGUGAUCACAAGAAAAAAAAAAAAGAAUUUAAUCGAUAUUGUUUUUAUAAAAAAAAAAAUUAUUCCAAGACUAGUCUAUAAUAAAUUUUGAGAAAUUGUAAUAUUUUCUCAUUUUCUUAAGGUGAGAAAUUUUUCUCAAUAUAUAGUUUAAUUAAUGGAAUAUUAUUUUACUUAUUUUAUGAAAUCAUUGCUUCAAAUAUUGGAGCAAUGAGGUGUGACCUUAAUUUUAAAAUAAAUAAAAAAUAUUUUCAAUUCAAGAUUUAAAAUUUGGCCACCGUUUUUUCUAAAUGAGUGUUGUGAGAUGCUAAUACUUUUCCCCACACAAAUGAUUCACGAACUCAACUCACUUUUUCGCAGACCAUGUUUUUUAAAAUUGUUUACUUUAUUUCGAUGUCCAAUCACACCGUAAAAAAGAUUGGUGAUGGCUCCUAUUUUAUUUUAAAACUAGCUUUUUUGAGAACGUCGGCCGCUCCGCGUCGUCUCAGACACAUGCUGACAUAUAUAUAUAUAUAUAUAUAUAUAUAUAUAUAUAUAUAUAUAUAUAUAUAUUAUAUAUUAAUAUAUAUAUAUAUAUACUCCUCAUAGAGUAAUAUUAAUUAAGGAAAAUUGCAAAACCAUCCUAAAAUAAGGUGGUAGUUGCAAUUAUACUCUUCAAACUUUCAAAUUUUAAAAUUAAAUCCUAAAACUUACAUAAAUAUAUAAAUUGUAUAAAUUUGAUUGAUUAUAUACCUUCGAGGAUUCAACCAUUUUUCAUUUUUUCAUUUUUAAAAUUUUAAUUUAGACAUCUAAUUGUUAUUGUUGAAAGUUUGAAGGGGUGCAAAUUGCAAUACUCCUCUAUAUACUUUAGAGUUGGUUUUUGCUUCUCCUUUUAAGGUGAAAGAAGAUUAAUGGAGUUUUUUUUUUUUUUUUUUUGGCCAUUUUAGGUUCACAAAUGAGUCGUUUUUAUAUAUGUGUAUAUGUAUAUGAAAAGAGAAAGAAUUACAAAUAUUUGAGUGUGGAUCAAUGAAGUUGAUGACUAUAUAGUAAUGGCAGUUGAUGUUGGUACCAUACAUUACAUCUCAUCCCUUGCUCUUGGAAUGGCAUACAUGGAAAAGGAAAAGGAAAAGAAUAACGUUGAUUCAAAAUGGUUCAAACUUAUAUUGCUGAUUUAAGGUUAGAUUAAUUAGACACAAAAAAUAAAGAUAAAAUGAUAAACGACUAAAUUUUUUAGCCUAAUUAAUAGUAAAAGAAAAAAAGAAAACAAUAAUAGUAACAGCAACAACCAUAAGAUAUUGGCUAAUUUAGAAGUUGGAUUUCAAAAUAUGAUAAAGAAAAACAGUGAUAUAAUUGAAAAAAAUUCAACAUAUUCAAUUUGUUCCUAAUUUUUACUUUUUAUAUUUUAUAAAAAUAUUAGGUUGUAGAUCGUUUUAAUUGAUAACAAUGAUUUAAAUUUAAAUUUUUAGUUAUUUGUUUUAAUUUAAUGUCAAAAUUUAACAUCAAGGAGACUUACCUUUAAGAACAAAAAGAAAUAUAUCCUCAUUCUUAAUUUUUUUCCAAUAAUAAAGAAAAAGUCUACAAUUGCCUUCCAUGUUGAUGCACAUAAGUUCAAUGAGAGUAAUUAAAUAGAAAAUUCUAUAGUAUUGUAACAAGUGUAAUGACUGAUUCAAUACUUGACAUAUUUGAUGAUUGAUGUUAUAAUCGGAUGGAUUGCAAGGAGGAGCAUUCUCAUUGUUGGUUAUGUUGGAUUGGAGUUAAAGUUGAUAUGAUUUUAUUAUCUUUGAAAUAGUUUGAUAUAUACUUAUUAAUUUUUUUAAAAAAUACAAAUAAUGGGAUAUUAAAACAUUAUUUAUGUUCUGCACUUGUUGUGUGUAUAUAUAUAUAUGUAUAUGUACGUAUAUGCAUUGGGAUAAAAUUAUAUUGGCUCCACAAAAGAAAAUUAACUUUUUAAUUGAUGAAAACACCAAAUUCUCGUCAAAUAAAUUUAAUAACACAUACCAUUUAUUCUUUAUGAUCCACAUCUAUAAAAGUAUUAUUAUUUUACAUAUAUAUUAGACUAUUUUAAAAUAGCCGUUGAUCAAAUAGAUGUGAAGAUUCCAACAUAUUUGAGAACACAACUAGUGGAAGAAUAGAACCAUCAAAUCUUAUAUAGAUUUGAUCAAAAUAAAUGGUAUCUCUCUUUUGAUGUUUUUCAUUCAUAAACUUUAACAUUUUUGUUAUGGUAAAAAAAUCAAUGUAAAAUUCAAAAUUUGAAAGAUUUGAUAACAAUAAAAACAUAGUUACUUAUCUCAAUUAUCACUUAGUUGGAGAGGUUAAAAUUUGAGUCUAAAUUUAAUAUUUGUUAAAAAAAAAGUUUAACAAUUUUAAAAUUUUAACCAACGUACUUUGAUGUUUUUAGUUAACAUUAUUCACAAAAAUGUGAAAUUCUUCUUCUCCUGUGCAUUGAACAAAAAGUUUAAUUGAAUAUUUAGUCAAAAAGGAAUAAGGAGACUACCAAAUUAGUUGGUAGGAACUUGAAGUGCUUUUCAUAUAUUAAUAAGCAACAAAAAUAUUCUUAAACUCUUGGUUUAUAUAUUUCUUUUGAGUAUUAGAACAGUUGUUAGAAUAAAUAUUUACAAGUUGAUAAACAAGCAAAGAGGGGAAUUGUAUUCUUUCUACUUUUUAGCAAUAUCUUCCUAAAUAAGUUAAACUAUUCUUUAAUUACAAAAAAAAAUACUUAAUUAGUGUAGGUAAAUCUGCACAAUUUCAUUGAUAUAAAACUUAUAUUAUUGACUUUGACAUUGGUGGUUUAAUUUUUUCUCAACAACUAAAAUGAAAAGUUCAAUUUUCUCUAUGCCACAUAUUGUGAUCUAGGAAAAGAAUAGAUUAAAGAAAUAAAACUCAGGUAUACUCUUCAACUAUCUUAUAACCCAAUUGUCCAAUUAUAUAUAUAGCUUGCUACAUGUCAAUUAUAUAUAUGCAAAAAUAUUUAACUUAGGAAAGGGUUAAAUAUGUCAAAAAUAAUUUUAAAAAAUUGUUUUAAAUAAUAAAACAGUUAAAAAAUAUUUACAAACACACAGUAAAGUUUUAUUUUCUAUUUGUCAUAAAACUCUUAAAUUAAUAUAGCAAGAAACCAAUCUUUAGGAAUUAAGCACAAAAAAAAAAUCAUAAUCAAUACUUAGCUUGUGAAGAUAAAAUUAAGAUAGAAAAGAGAUGGGCACUUUAAUUAAAGAGUACCUUUUUGUUGUCUUGCAACACACAAUUUAGGAAGAAUUGUAGUUGAUAAUAUUCUUGCCACUAGAAAAUCUUUGAUAAAUUAGAAAAAUUGUAUUAAAUAAAGAAGACAGUGUGAUGAUUAGAAGAUAUACUAUACUUUGACUGCCUAUUAUUUAUUAAUUGUUAAAGUACUCCCAAAAGUUACUCUCUCUUUUCCAUCUUUAAGUGGAAAAUUUUAAUUUAGUGAACCAAUGAGCUUUUAGAUUGGCUAUAGUAAUUACUAAUUAGUAAUGAUAAAAUGACUAUUGUUUUAGGUAGGGCUAUAGUAAUGACAGGAAAAAAGAAAAGAAUAUAUAUUGAUAUAAUCUUCACUAGAAUGCUUGAACUCUUGGCUAAAUGGAAAAAGGAGUCGAUUUGGAUAUAGUUACGUAUUAAAUUUUAAUUAUAAUUAAACAUAUAAUUCUUUUAAUGUAUCAGAAUAAGAGUUUAUACUAAUUUAAUGAUAUAUAUUUUAUUUUGUGUUGUGUUUUCAAAUACAACAAAAUGGAACUAUUUUAAAUUUUUGCAUCAAUUUUUUAGAUUUUCUUAUAAAUUCUUCCAAAUUUUCCUGCUAUUUUAAACGUGAAAAACUUGAAGGAUUUAAGGAAAACAAAAUGUAGUUUGCUUUUCCAGAAUAACAAAUAAAAUUGUUUUUUUGAUUGUAAGUUUAUAUAUAUUCCAUUUGUAACAGGACUGUAUGAAUAGUUAGGCAUAUAUAUUUUCUUUUAAGAUCACUAAUUAUAAUACAUUAUAAUUCUAAAACCUUGUACUUUCUAUAGAAAAUAUAUCCUCAGAAUGCACAAAAGUGGAGAAGGGUUGGCGUAAAGACUCUUUCUCCAAUUGCACAGUGACAGCUCGUACACAUCUUUAACGCUGAAACAAAAACUAUACCAAACAUUGUGUGUAGUUUUCCAAAAAUAAAAAUCUAAAAUCGUUUAGUCUAUGUUUAAUUAUAUUAAUCUAAACGUAAAGUAAUAAAUAUAAUCUAAUUAAACAUAUCAAAACUCAUUGUUUAUAUAGCAUGCAUUUGCUAUACAAAAUGAUAAUUUCUUUCAUAUAGAAACUCUAAAAGAAAACGUUCAGAAUAUAAGAAUAAUAUAUAAAUCCCAUGUGAGAGUGUGAACAACAACAUGCACACUUUUACACAGUAUAUAAAUCUCCAUUUCAAAGAGCAAACCCUAACCACUAACAUCCCAAACAAAAUCUCUUCUAAUUUCUUCUUGUUCUUCGUGUGCAUGGGAAACAAGUACAGUUCUUUGAGUGAAGAACAGCUCGCCUGGAUUUUCAAGAAACAUGACAUCGACAGAGACAGGAAGCUGACCAAAGAAGAGUUGACACGAGCCUUCAACUAUUUGGGUUCAAGGUGGACCGCCUUGAGAGUCAAGGAAGCCAUUCGCGCUGUCGAUGCAAACCACGAUGGCGUCAUCAGUUUGGAUGAGAUGAGUAAGCUCAUUGUGUAUGUCAAAGGUUGUCGCACCUAAACAAUUAAUAAUACUUAACUGCAACCAUCUUUUACAUGUCAACCUAAGUGGAACUUACUUGAUGUCACCAUGUAGUUGUGCCUCUCAGUUGAGUCGUAAAAUACAAAUGCAGCUUAGUUAGCAGUCGAACACUUUACGUCGCAGAGUUAUAAAUAUUAGCAAAAAGAAAAAAAAAAUCCUUUUUAUUGGAUAAAAAUGUAAAGUGUGAUAUCCACUCUCUGUCAUAGGUCGGAAAUCUACAUUUGCUAACGAUGUUUAAGGGGAAAAAAGUGUAUAAUGUAAUUACUUGUCUGUUUUCUUUUUAAUAAAUCGUUAACUGUGUUGGUAAAUUACUAUUGGUGUAGUUAAUUAUAUAAGAAGCAAGUGGUUUUUUUUUCUUUAAUUUUAUUUUAUGCAUGGUUGUGCAAAUGAUUACUAAAUACAAAUAUGUCAAAUAAAAUUUGAAGAGGAAUUGAAUUCUUUCUAUUUGUGAACAAAAUAUCCUCCGAUAUGUCAUAUAAUUAUUCUUACACUCACUACCAAAAUUAAAAAAAAAAAAAAAAAUCAGCUUGUAUAUCUAUUCUAUGAUUAAAAUAAAUUUUCCUAAAUUAAAAAAUAAUCUUCUAAAUUCUUAUUAUGGGGUAGGUAAAUUUAACUAUAUUACUAACAAUGGACUUGACUGCAUAAGCGCGUUUUAAAAAUAAAUCUCAUUAAGAACAACCAUCUUGUCCUGCUAAUUAAGAUGAGAUUUAAGAGAGUAAUUUUUUUUUUAAAAAAAGACAAGGAAUAUUAGAAAAGUGAAAUCGCAAAGAUAUGAACCCAAUUUUCCAAGUACUAAUUAUGUUUUUUUUUUAAUGAAGUAAUUUUUCUUUGUCCAAUGUUAAGGUUGCUAUAAAUUAAAUUUAUCUUCAUAUAUAUAUAUAUAUAUAUAUAUCAUCAGAACAUGUAAUCUAUAAACAACUUUAGACGUGAGGAAAAUGUUAAAUAAUAUAUAAAUUAAAUUUACGUUUCAUCUAUAUCUUAUGUUUUUACGUCGUUAACCAAAAAAAUAUAUAGAGAGUAAAAAAAAUAGUUAGAGUGGUUGGCCACUAAAACUUAUGUGAAAUAGGAUAAGGAUGGGGAUAAACAAGAUAGGGUUGGAAUAUAUAAGUUGGAAUAAAGUACUAAUCUUCAAAUAUUCAUUUCUCUUAUUUUAGGUAACUAAUAAAGCCAUUCCCUUGAACUAAUGAACAUGGUAGGCAGAGAGAUACACAAUAAUAUAACAAAUGGAUAUUAUGUUCCCUCACACCAUUGCUAGCUUCCUAUCCAAAAAGAAAAAGAAAAAAGAAUGUUCUGAUCUAUUAUUUCUUUGAUUAUGGAAACUUUUUAAAUAUAUAAUUAUCAUCAUCACACUUGUGGAUGCAUGCUUGGCUAAGAUUUAGUAUUAAUAUGGUUGAAACGAUCUAGUUGAAAGACGGAUAUAAGUGUUAAACAUUAUGCAUAUACACACUUAAGUUUGUAAAUUUGAUAGAAUUACUGGGAAGUUUUACUAAACUAUAAGAUUUAAUUUUGUUAGACUUUCACCGAGUGUUGAGGAUAAUAUAUUGAUUUAAAUUUAACAAGCUAAUUUAGAAGUAUAUUUUACUAAUAAUCUUAGUUUAAGUUCGAGUUUUCAAAUAACUUAUAAUAAAUAAUUUGUGACGCACCCAAUAUAGACUACAUACAAAUCUAUGAUAUGGAUGUGAAGUUGCAUUACAUAAAAUAGUUGAUGAGAAAAAUACAAGAGCUUUUGACCAAUUUUUUACUUUCUUUUAACCACUCGUGCAAUGCUUUAAUGGUUUGAUUUUUUACUUUUCAUACCAUGGAGAUGAAUGAUAAUCUAUGGGAAAGUUAGUUUCAAUCUCUCAAUAGGGAGCUGGUGGAAAGUGAAAUGAAUGAGACUUUUAAUUGUAUAUUCGAGUAGAGAAUUUCUAACCGUUCGAAGUGUACACGGCUCAAUAAAUUUCUAAAUUAACGAGUUAGGGAUGUAGGGUUACAGUCAACUAUAUAAUUAAGCCAUCAAAGUCAUUCAUUCUAAACAUGUCGAAACACACCACUACUAAGUAUUCAAUUCCAACUUGUUUUGUAACUUGAGUGUCAAAGCGUUGGUAGUUUGACGUUGCACCAGUGUUGAAUUUCUCCAUUCUGCCAAGCACUUGAACUAUUUUCUCCCAAAAUAAAAUUUUAUAUACGUUUAUUCAUUACUCUUCCAUGGGAAAAAAAGAAAUGGUGUUGCAGAAACCCCGCCUUGAAAAAAGUCUCUCAAACUCUGUCACUGUUUUUAUUUUAAUCGUAUAUCACACUUCCAUAAAGAAACUUGCUGAGUAAAUUGGACUUUGUAAUGGGCCAUAAACACAAAACAGGCUUUAAAUGUUUCGGCCUCUAAUUUUCUUAACACCAUGCUUUGAUUUCACUUUUUUCUCUUAAUUCCCAGACUAUUAGUAAAACUUUUUUGGACAAAACUUGGGAAAUAAUGAAACAAAACUUAGAUGAUAUAGUUUUCCUUUGAAUAACGUAGUUCAAGAAACUUACUGAUUCUUAUGUAAUCUUACAGCAGUUAAGAUUCUCAAGUGUAGAUUCAUUAUUUAAUUCUCGAAUUAGUAUAUGUUCAUUCCCUUAGUUUAUCUGCUCAAACCCCAAGAAAAGUUACUAUUUUCCUUUUGAGAGGCACACUUCCCAAUAUGCCUCCCAUAAGAUAUUUAUGGGCUUCAACCCAUCAUGCAAAAAACGGGAAUCGUAUGGUUCGUGAAGAUAUAAACUAGAGUGAGGGUAUAACUCUCCACCGAUGUAUGUCAAAGAUGAUGGGUCUUUUUUUUAAAAUAUAAGAUAAAGUAUAGAUAGAAAAGGAUUAGUAAUUAGGAUCUGAAGUAAAGGGAAGGUUAAGAACAUGAAAGUUUGAUCAAAUCAUAAUAGAAUCUAUUGUAAAUGGAAUGAAAUUCCUUUAAUAGCCUUUAAAGAACAAAACACAGUCGUCCAUAAAGAAAUUGAGAUGAUUAUUAUGGGAAUCCCUUUUUCAUUUUUCAAAUUUAUUAAAUUACAAUUACGACUAAAGAAUAUAUUAUAAGAAUUAAAAUAUCGUUUUUUAUUUUAUUUAAUUAUUAAUUCUUUUCAAAUGUUUAUUCUUGAAAAAAAGUAAAAACUUUAAAUUAAAAUAAAAAAUAGAUUACCCAUCAAAUUUCAGUAUUUUUACACUUUCAACUUUCAAAACAAAAUCCAAGACAAUUGCUAAUUUCAUAAAAAAAUUAGUCAUUUAUACUCUUUUUGUAAUGAGUAAUAAAGAUAGAAUGAUCAACAAACACACUUAGAUUAACACACCCUUAAUGACUUCAUUAUAUGAUGCUGCACUAUUCGGUGAACUAAUAAAUGAGUAUAAAUGGAUUUCUAAGUUAAAUGUUGGGAUAGUUUAACGAGAUCGUUUUUUGGUGCAUAUAUUUAUCGACCUGUUUAAUGAAACAGAUGUAUUUUGUUAAAAAAAGAGUUUAUUGGAUUUUUAAAAUCUUUUUUUCUUCAAGCUAUUUUGAUUAGAAAAUUGAGGGAGGUUAAAUUUUAAGUUGUUGUUUCUUUUUCUAUAAUAUUAUAUUUAAUUUAUCGAUUAUGACUGCAUGUUCCGAAAAAACGAUCUCCCAAGUAUCAAUCAAUGUUUUAGCCCAUUUUUUCUUUUAUAAUUAACUAUUAACAUUGCCUAUAUUAUGCCUCAAAUUCUUUGCCAUGUUAUUAGUGUUUUUCAAAAUAACUCAUUUCUAAAAUUAAACACUUGAAAAUUUUAAUGGAACAUUUAUUUUAAUAACUUUUGGAUAUUCAAAAUAUCGUCAGUCGAUGCUAGGUUGACACGUACAUAACCACUCUGUUUAUGCCGACAUCCAAAAGAAAAUUAUAUACAUAUGCUUAUAUUCUGAGAUUAAUUCCUUAUGUUUAUAUUCUCCAUCCUCCCAAGUGGUAUUAGGAAAAGUUUGAUGCCAUCUACUUUAGGUUCUGGUGCUACAUAUAGUAUUUUCCUUUGAAUGAAAUAUGUGAACACAAGAAAAUAAAAGAAGGUAUUAUUAGAUUUUCGUUGACAUCAUACAAAAGAAAAUUAUAAUAGAAUGUGUUGACAUUUCAUGAUCACUAUAUAUUGUGUUGACACGUAAAUGUGAGAUUCACCGAUAUUUUUAUUUACAUCGAUAUAUUUUACACCUAUAUCGCAAGAGAACCUUGCAGACACUCGAAUUUUCAUUGUUGAUCCAAAUUGUAAACCUUGCAAAAGGUAUUUUGGAUACUUUAUUCCGAGUUGAUAGAGAUGCUCACAAAAAGACACAUUAUUUCUUCUACGGCAGAAAUGCAUGAAGUAAACUUUGGUAAAUAAAAACUCCCUCAAAGCAUCAAUUCCAUUUGAGAUGAUGUGUAAUAGAUAUCAUCUCAAAGAGCAAAAAGAAAAAAGAAAAAAAAAAAAAACCAUCUCCUUGUGUUAGGGUUUUUGUCUUUUACAUACCAACUCUAUAUAAAGACUCCUUCCCCAUAGAGAAAAAUCUAAGGCAAACAAAAACUAUAUUAUCAUCAACACAAAGAUAUAUUAUUAGAGCUUACGUUCUUGAAUAUCAUUGAAAUGGCAAUGUCAAGGUCUCAACUGAAGUUGACUAGGGAUGAGGUUAGGGAGAUCUUAGAAGAGCAUGACGUGGACGGUGAUGGUAGCCUGACGAAGCAAGAGGUGAUGCAAGCCCUGAACUCCAUGGGUUCUAUGAUGUCCUUUCAGAAAGCUCACUAUGGUGUUUCUCAUGCUGACAAAGAUGGGGAUGGUAAAGUCGAUCUAGGAGAAGCAGAGAUGGAGAAUCUUAUUGACUAUGUCAUGAGGUUUCAGACCCCAAGGGCCCCAAAGACCCCAAAGGUCCCUAAGGUGCCAGCCCAAAAGCCUUGCCAUGAUGGUAAAUCAAUUGUGUAAUAAUCUUAGCUUAUUUCUAUUUAUUAUGUGUCCGUCUUCAGUCUUCGUCUACGUCUUCAUCUUGUUUUUCAGUCCAUAUAGUUUAUGUUACAAAUUGAGCCAUGGCUGUGCUCAAAUUGGCAAUUAUCCACGUAUGUUCGUUAUCUGCAGUAUUGUGUGUCACUGGUAAUAAAAUUAUCUUCUUGUUGUAUCCAUAAAUUAUUAUAUAAUAAACAUUCCUAAACUAUUAAAAAUGUCAGAUUUUCAAUUUCAUUUCAUGCCAUCGUGUGAUUUAUUAUUUAACUUUGCACUAUGUAAAUAUAAACUAAGAUCUUUUAUAAAUAUUUACAAGUAACAUAAAGUUUAAUACAUAGUAGAAUGUUUUGAAUGUAUUAUUUAGCAUUUCUAACACCCAAAAUCUAAGUGGUAUUCAAUAUUUAUUCUAUCUAUGUGAUUUAUGAUUGACUCUUAACCUUAGAAGUACUUUUAUAGUUUAACAGCUUUUAUCUGAUAAGAAAACUUGCUCUCUCCAUCGAUUAGUGUACAUCUAACUCAUGAUUAAUCAAGUAUUUAAUUGUAUCAAUGUUUACUGGUUUUUUGUUGCCCAUUUUUUCUUAACACUGUAGCUAUAAAAUUGUAUUUGCUAACUGACAAAAUUACAUGACCCAAAUAUACUAGAAAUGUUGUAAAUAAUUAACGCCAUAAUGAACCAAAUAAAAGUGUAAAGAGAGUAUACAAAAGGCAAAACACACCAUAUGAACAUUCUCAUGUAAGGAUACAAAUGUAUAUAUAAAAUGGGGCCAUUCGUUUUAUAAUAGCAGAAAGCAGUAAUUAGAAUCGAUGAUAUAUAAAAGGAAAAAGAGAUUCAUUGGACGACAUUUAAUUAAGACAAAUCAAAUAAGCCUACCAUCAUAAUUUUCUUAAAAAAUCUGUUACAUUUUUUUGAAUGGAAUACUAGUAGACCAGGGUCAUUAAUGCACCCAACGACUCAUCCAAGAUCGUUUGCCAUAGCAGCUGCAUCAGUCAUCACACUCCAGCCCAGCCCCCAUGUUGUUUACUUUUGUAUAAAAUGGUAAUCAAAUAUAGAUGUUUAUUGAAAUGUCAAUCUGUUUAAUUAAAAUACAGUAACUAAUGAAUAUGUAAUAAAGAUACUAUCCAGCCCUGCCUGUACUACUUUUCUUGGUAAUAAAAUUCUGGCGUUAGGGCUUUGCCCACUCACCUUGUUUCCUCUUAAAAAAUGAAUAUCUAAUAAGAAUUAAAAUAACCUUUUCUAAUUUUAUUCUUUAUUAACUGUCAUUUACAGCUUGUUCAAACAUUAACACUUAAAAGAUUUAAAAUUAAAAUAUGGUUUGACUUAAACUCACCCAUCUAAAUUCCAAAACAUCUUAAAGUGAAAACAUUAAUAAACUUAAAUUAAUAUCUCAUCUUCUUUUAUUUUUUGUAACCAAAGGAUGAUAUAUGCAUACAGAAAUAUGUAUUAUUGUACGUGAUAGACCACCAAAUAUUUGCUGAAUAUCUUUAUCCCCAUCGACUGGACAUUUCUAUAACUUUUGAAAAACGAUUCUUCUGUUUUGGUAGGGUUUUGUUUUUCUUUUCUUUUCUUUUCCUUUUGACAAAAAUGAUAAUAACUUGGAUUUUUGACAUUUUAUGGUUGAGUUUCAGUUUUCUUUUACAAGUCUAAAUCGUGGCUAGCUUAAGAAAUAUUUCUACAAUUCAAUUUACACUUAUAUCAUACAUUUUAAUUUUGAAUAUUUUGCUACAUCAAAUUUGAGUAAUUACAUUUUAUUUGAAUAAAUACAUCAAUUAGAGAGAGGUUAGAAAUUGCAUCCAAAAGUCUCAAAUAUGACCUUAUUUUGUUCUUCUAAAAAGAAAGAAAAAAUAUUCGUGAAUAAAGUAUAAAAUUCCAAAAAGCUGAGAUUUAAUUUAGGAUUCUUUUCAAAAAUAGGAAAAAAAAUCACAAAUUUGUUCACUCCAUAUAAAAAAAUAUUAAAAAAAAUUCAUUACAUAAAUAAUAUUUAAAAAAUUGCAUAGGACAAUAUUUUGAGAAUAUGAUAUAGCAAUUAUAGAACACUGUUUUAGAAUUUUGCAAAUAUGACAAAUGUUUUACUUCUUCAUCUUAAAUUUGUUAUUAUUCUUAAACUAUCAUUUAAUAAUUUAUUUCUCUUCCUCUUUUUAAUGCCCUAUUCAUUAUAUAUUUAUUCUCUCACUUUUUAAGGCCCUAAUUAUUUGUUUAUUCUUAUACUAGAAAAAUUAUUUAUUCAUUAUUCUCUCACUUUUUAAGGUUCUAAUUAUUUGUUUAUUCUUAUACUAUAAAAAUUAUUUAUUCUUCAUGUGUUAAUCUUAAUUUUAAAAUAUCAAUAGUAUAAUAAUUGCAAUAUGAAAUAUAAUAUAAUGGUUGGUGAUCGGAGUAAUUAACUUCAUUUGUGAUUUCUUUUUUUACUUUCUUCGAUGUGUAUUUUAAGCUGAAUCUAAUUUCAAAUGAUUUUGUUUUAUUUUUUUACAUUAAUUUUUUGAUUUUACUUUGUCUCAGUUUCAUAUAUCAGUGUUAUGAUAUACUUAUAUUAUAUAUAUUAGUUAGUUAAUAUACUUACUAUGUAAUUUUUGUUUUCUGAAAAUUUUAUAUAGAUCAUUAGAGUAUUAUUAAGUAUAUGAAUUAUUUAACUUAGUGUAUCAUUAUCAAGUAUAUCAACAAUAUAUUGUUAAAACAUAUCAAUAAAGUGAAUCAUUAUCAAGCAUAUGAAUCAAAUUUACAAGUGUAUAUCAAUAGUAUAUCAAGUGUAUAAGUAUGACUUCAAGCAUAUCGAGUGCAUUUAAUCAAUCAAUUGUGUAGAUACCGUAUUUUGUCCUGCCUUUUUAUUUUUUUCAUUAAUUUAUUUAUUAUUUUUUUAAAAGAAUUUGAAUUUGAAUUUAAAUUUAAAUUAUAAAAUUUAAAUCUUAAUUUUUAAAUUUAUGUUUUAAAACAAAAACAAAAAUAAAAACAUAUUUAAAAUUAAAUUUAAAAGUAAAGAUUUUUUUUCUUCUCCCUAUUUUUCUCAACCUUCCCCUGUUUUCCUGAGUCACAACCCUCCCACUUUCUCCCAAUCUCUCACGUUCUCCCACUCUUCCAUCUUCUUCCCCAAUCUCUCACGUUCUCCCACUCUUCCACAUUUCUGUGUACUCCAUUUCACUAUCUAAACCUACUUCACUUCUAUCUAAAAAAAGGAGACAUUUCCCUAUAAAAAGAGAAUGAGAAGAUUCAAUGGGGGGAGAAUUUUUUUUGCUGGAGAAUUAUUUGGUAGAGAAGAGGGACACGUAAAAGAUUUUUUUUGGAAGAGGUGAGGAGGAUCAACCCAGAACAUUUUGCAUUUAAGGCAGACCUUGUAAGUUCUUUUUUUUAUUCACGUUUGAUAAUACUAGCUUGAUUAUUUGGCACCCAGUAAUUAUUUCGCACCCAUCUGGGUGCUGUCUUAAUUAUUCAUUUAAAUCACUCGUUAAUUAGCUGAUGCGUUAAUCAUUGGGCACUCAUUUCACAUCUUUUAAUUAUUUGCAUCAUUUGAAUUAUUUGGCACCCAUUUGACUCUUUGAUUGCUGACCUAAUACAGUGUAUCAGGUGUAUCAAACAUAUAUUAGUAAUGUUUCAGGUGUGUAUAAAAAAGUAUCGAGUAUAUCAAAGAGUAUCCGAGCAUCAAGUGUAUCAAUCAAAUGUAUCAAAAAGUAUAAGGUGUAUCAAAGAAUGUAUUAGGUGUAUCAGACGUGUAUAAGACGUGUAUAAGGUGUGUAUAAGGUGUAUCAAACGUAUAUUAGUAACGAGGACAUUUGUGACAUUUUACCUUUUGAUGUGUGGACUGGGUUUCGUUUUUGCCAUUUUCGCAAAUAAAAUGUGUGUGCUAUAGACUUAAUUGUUAUAACUUAUUUUGUCAUUUUUGCAAGUGCCCCUAAAUAUUUUGUCAAAUUUUCUAUUUUUGACAAUUUUCCAUAAAAAAUAAUAUUAAUUAACGUUUAAUAAAGUUCAAAUCUCUUCUCUUCUCGGAUUGGUCCAAAAUGGUGAAAUUAAAUAAAUAUUAAAAGAAAAUGAGAAAAAAAAGUGUCAAUAGAUAAUUGCAAAAUAUAUACUUUUGAUUGAUGAGAUUUGAAAUUAUUUUGUCUAUCCUAGUAUUUAAAAUUUGAAAAGAAACACUUGACAUCUCUAAAAAAAAAGUUUGACAAGCAAGCAAUGGAUCGAUCCAUAAUUUUUCUUAAGAGGGACUUAAGUUAAAUUAUUUUGCAAAAAUAUUAAAAUACAACUUAAGUUCAAGAAACUUUCAAUUUAAAUUUUGCCAUAAAAUUGAAAUGAUGUCUCAUGUGUUAUUAUAAACAUUCAAUUUUGUAUUUAGUAUACAAAACACAGGAUGAACUUUGAAUACCUAAAUCCACGCAAAAUUAAAAAAAUUAUUUUAAGUUCACACUUGAAUUAAAAUUUAGAGAAGACAUCUUCUUUCCUUUUGUGAUUAUUAUUAUUUUCUCAACAGAGAAAUUAGAAGUUGGGGUAUCGGACAAAGUUAGAAAGUUCAAAACGUUCAAAACGUUCUUUAUUCUCCAAAGCUUCCUAAUCAAGAUAAGAUGGAACCAAGAGGCUACGCUUUUUAAGGACCCUUCCCUUCCACUUUCUUCUCAACAGUUCUUCAAUCGAAGAAAAACGGCGAAGGUUGCGAAGUCGUCUAGGUUUCAUCUAAAAUGACUCGUCAAUUAUAUGACAAGAAGAAAUCAGGGUACAAGUUGCAAAAAGAAGAAAUGAAAGAAAUGUUUAGGGAGCAUGAUUUCAAUGGCGACGGUCGCUUGAGCAUUAAAGAAUUGUCGAGAGCAUUCGGCCAAUUUGGCGCAUUCUUCCCUCUCUACCGUGCAGCUUUUGGGUUGUUCCUUGCAGAUGAUGACGGCGAUGGAUUUAUCAGUGAGCAAGAACUAGAUAAAGUGGUAGAUUAUGCUAUUAAAUGUAAGUAUAACCUACUUUAGUUAUCUUUUCCAUCCUGCUGUGGAAGGUUCCCUAGUGAGUGUGAGUUGUUGAUGUAAAAAAAUAAUAUACAGAAAGGUAAUUUGUGUGUUCAAGAGAUACCUUCCCCUAUUAUUGUAAAAUGCCUUUCCUGAUGGCUGAUGCGAAGAUGAUGAUGAUAGCAUUUCCAAUAAAAAUAAAUUUUAUGCUUCAUUCUUGCUCUUGCAUGAUAUGAUAACAAUUUUCUAAAUAUAUGUAUAUUGUUACAAAAUAAUAGACGCACUUUAUUUUAACAAUGUACCAGGAUCUGUUAACCUAUUAAUCUCUUGUAUCCAAAAGUUUCAAAAACAAAUUACAAGCUGAUAUAAACAAUAAUGAUUACAAAGUAAUACAAAAAUGUCAGUGUUGAAGUUUGCAGCUUAAUUAAAACUUUACAAAUAUAUUGAUAGAUACACAUCGUACAGGAACGUCCACCAAUAUCAAAAGGUACGAAAAUCAAACUAAACUGACCAAUGUCCAAUUAUCUUCAAAAUCGAUCGGUUUGGUUCACUUUGGUGAUCUAAUUAAUUUUGUUCCCCGGCAUCUUGGCUUCGGUUUUAUUAACAUUUUUUUGUAUUCUCCAUUUGUUAUAUUGGCCAUCAAAUCUAGGAAGAGAAGAGGGUGAAAUAGAGUAGGAUGUUUAAUUUGGGAGAGAAAGAGGUUCAUGAAUCUUUGAACCAUAAACUUCGUCCUAUUUGGAUGUCAAGAUUCAUGUCUCAAAUAAGUAUUUGGUAAAUUAGAAUGGUGAACCGAAGAAAUAUCUUCUCGUAAAGGCUUGUUGAACAUAUAGCUUGCUCGCUGUAUAUGAUGUACUGAUUCAAUAUCUGAUCUAUGAAACAAAACAAACAUGGUGAACUUACAUUUCUUUUUUUAAACUUUAGAUACUGUUGUGUAUUUUCAUUUCUAAAACUUUGAGAAAAAAAACUAUUUACUUUCCUAAAGUAAAUAGUAAAAUAGUUUAAAUUAUGUGAAAAUAUUUACAAAACACACAAAAAUUUCAAAUUCUAUCCAGAAUAGAUAAUGAUUAACUUUUGUUGGUGUCUAUGUUGAGUGCAAUGUCUAUCAUUAAGAAAAUCUUAAAUCUAAACUUUUGGUGGCAACAAGCAACAAGCAACGUACAUCUUGAAUAUAAUUAUUACUCAAAUUAUUUUUCUUAACAAAAUAACUAAUGUUGUUAAACAUUGUUCAUGGUAAAGACGUAGAACCCUAAUUUGCCCACACAAACAACGAAUGCUCGAAUUCUAUUGUUAAUAAUUUAUCCUCAUAUGUGUGGGUUUUUCUCUAGUAUAUAAUAUUUCGGUAUACCUACUAAUCCAUUCUAGAAUAAUUUCUUGGUAAACAAAAAAAACUAUAAAUUAUAAAGGAAUGAAUAAAUUAGAAUAGACUAAAAAUAGAUUACUCAAUUUUUUAAAGUUAUUAUUCCAAUCUUAAAGCUUAAGUUCAACAGAUGAUGUCAAAACACUAUCUACGUCAAUCACUAUCUGAUUUGCCACUUUUGUUAAUAAUAUAAACUCAACUUUUCUAUUUUUGACAACUUUUCUAAAUUCUAAUUUUUAUAAUUAAACAAAACGUACAUACAAAAUAUAUAUUUACAAAUAAAAUUCUGAAGUGAAAUUCUAUUUUAAUUUAAAAGUAAUUGACAAAUUUUGUUAUAUUUUUUUAAAAAAAUAUUACUAUAUAUUUGAAAUGUGCUACUUGUUGCAUUUACCAUAUUUUUUAAUCUUUCACCAAUAAAUUUAAAAUCCUAAUUUAAUUAAUCUUCAUUCUCAUAAGAAUGAUAAUUGCAUAAGCAUAAUAAUUUAUUCUUUCACAUUAUUUCCAACUUCUAUACAAGUAUUUAUAAUUGAAAAUUAUUAAAAAUAACAAAAAUUGUUGAAAAUAUCUAUCUAAUAUAGUAAAAUUUUCCAUUCAUCGAUAAGGGUAGAUUUGAAAAAAUGAUAUCAAGUUAUAAUCUUAGUUCUAAAAAAACCAAAACUUGUAUUUCUAUUUCUUCAACCCUUUCCACAUAACCAAGGUCCAAUAUUUGAAAAGGAAAAAGAAAAGUAGGUAUUCAAAAUUAAAAGAUGUGGGAAUUAAAACAGCCGUAAUUAGCAUAUGCAAGGUUUUUGUUUUUAAUCAGUAUGUUGUUUCUUUAAACACUUAUUAUUACGAUUAUGUAAUAAAUUUAAGACUUAUUAGAGAAAUGUUGUUGUUAGGUUUUUGGCGAUUCCAACAUAUAUAUCGUAGUUUUUUUAAAAAAGAAAUAGAAAAGAAAAAGGAACUAAGGAAGGGGAUGGAAAAACCUAAAUCGGAGGUAUGGUGAUGGGGAACGGUAAGGGAAGUCGGAAUCCAUUUCCGGCAACGAAAAGUAAUUAAGGAAAGAAAAUUCCAUAAAUUAUUAGCAGAAUCAAUAAUGGGAAAAAUAUAAAGGUAUGCUUGGAUGCAGGAAUGAUUUAUGGUGGACUACUCACUCAAAAUUAUUCCUUUGUUCCUUCCUUUAUUUAUUUUGAUGCACCACCACAUUUUCAAAUUACCACCAUGCAUGAAGAUAUAUAUAUUAUAUAUAUAUAUAUAUGAGCCAUGAAUAUUUUUUAAAUAUUAAUAUUAGAAAUAUAGAAGAAAACGAAAACCUAAGUUAAUAUUUUGUGUAAAUUUGGUAGUGAGGGUGAAAGUGGGAAGAUAAGAAUAGGGAACAAAUGAAUCAGCCACACCCAUAAUGAAGAUGGUACCCAACUUGGAAAUCUGAGUAUCUUUGAACGAACAGUAUUUUGGUAUCUCUUUUUUUUUAUAAAGAUACUUUGAGAUAGCUGAUGCAAGGCCACAUGGGAACAUAUCAAUGCAUCAACUAUAGCCCCACUUCAUUAAUAAUAAAAGGUGAUUACAAGAAGCGGGGAAUAGAAAGGUUAGAGGGCAGCCCGAUUAUCCCAAAACGAAAGCAUGUAAAUUUAAAGCAAUAGAACUGGACGGGUAAUUUUUGAAAAGAGAAGAACGACUCGACCAUAGACCAGUUAUAGCUUGAAUGUCUUCCCAUACAGAAACAUCUGAUUUCUCUUCUCCCUUAAAAGUCCUUAUGUUUCUUUCAUUCCAGAUAUUCCACAGGGUAGCAGCCACCAGAUGUUGUUCAAUGGUUUGUCUUUUUUAUUUACCUUUAGUUUUGAAAGGUUGUUUGCAUAAAACAGUAGAAUCUAUAUGGGGGAGAAGUUUGUCUAGUACCUCUUCAACUUUUUUCCACAGGUUUUUUUUGUGAAGGGGAAGAGGGAGAAUAAAUGAAUACUAUGUCAUUCACCAUUUUCUAAUGUCAUACUUUUAAUGGUAAAUACUUAGACGUUUCAUGAAAUUUAUUUAUGAUUUAUCUAUGUACGUUUACUAAUUGGAUGUUUAAUUACAAUAUUUUUACCAAUGACGAGAUUCUUCAUCUUUUUAGUUUUUCUUAUUCCUUGAUGAUUGUAGGAUGCAUUCAAGAUCCAUCCAAUUUCAUUUUUAGAUUUUUGAAAUUGUUAAAAUAAUUUUUGUCAUAUUAAAAAAUAAUUUAAAUAUAUUUUAGUAAUUUUUCUAUCGUUUUGUUUCAUAGCAAAUAUAAUUUAAAUUCAAAUUCGGUAGAAAUAAGAGAAAGAUGUGAAAAAAUGGUACAUUUUUGCAAUACGACAACGCACUCUUUCAACUAAACUAUAUAUGCUCGAUUUGACUAGUAUUAUUGCAUUGAAAUCGACACAAAAUGGGUAGAAAAUAAGUGGGUAUUAUAAUACCAAAGCAUCAAAUAUGCAAAGCCACCACUGUGAAACUCUUAAAGCCUAAAAGAUAAAACGCAAAUUGCCAAAAGCAUCUUCCAUCCUUUACCUUGUUGGAAAAUUCAUUAAGUACUUAUUAAUUAAUUGCGAUAACAAAGGAAUAAUUGAAUUGUGAAUUUGUCACUCUUUAAUCACUUUCUGGAUUUGGGUGAUCAAGUUUAACUUUAUUAACUUUCAAUUUUUAGGAAUUGAAUUCUAGACUCUAGUGAGUAUUAAUACACGUUUAAAUUGGUAUUAAAUUUGUUUUUAAUGUUAUAUGUGUUUUAGUCUCCUUUAAAUAUCUCUACCUUGUUAAGAUAUAUACAUUUCCUCUGCCUCCUUGUUAAAAGAAAAUUGGUAUAAAACAAAGAUUUCCAAAAACCAACAAAUAAAUCAAAAUCUCAAAAGGGCAAAAAAAAGAGUAAAAGCCAGAGUCUUGUCAAAUUAAUUAUAAGAAUCCUCAUAGCUAGCUUUAACUGCAAGUUCUAGAAACAAAAUGAAUAAAUUUAAUCGAUAUCAUUCUUUUAAUAAAUGUUUCAAAGUACGUAAAUAAAACUACACAUAGUUAGAUAGUUAUUAAUUAUUUGACAAGGUGUAACAGAUAAUACCCUAUAAACAACGAUCCAUUUUUGACAAUUUUUUAUUGCAACCCAAACUUUAUCUAAAAGUUUUUCAUGCAACAAUAUAUCAUGACUAACUUUACAAGACCAAUAAGGUUUUACAUCCAAAGAAAAGAAAAUGUAAUAGAUAAGUAAGGAUAGUUAUUAAAUUUUUUUUUAUGCAUGAAAACUUUCUGAACUGAUAAUGAAAUCAGAAGAAUAUUGACUACUUUCAAGACACGUAUUCGAUUCUUCACGUGAGCUUCGUAAAGUUGAUGUUAAACGUUUUGGCAGUAUCCUCUUUUUUCUUCUUUUUCCAUUUUAUUAUUUUUAUAUAAAGAAAAAUGAAAUUCUCCUUUCUAAAAAUUCAGAAAAUACCUCAUAAAAAAAAAAUAGUAAAAUGUAAUAUUUUAAUUCUAAGAAAAGAUUCCAUAUAUCAUUAUGAUACCAAUAUGAUUACAAAGAAAGUGGGAGAAUUCUACUAUAAAUACCCCACGAUCCAUACAUCGAUAAACACCAAGCAAACCAUAAAAAAAAUACGAACAUUUUGCUCCAACACUAAACCGUAUCAUUUCUAAGAAAAUGUCUCGUGCAGCAACCAGGCUACAGCUCUCCAGGGAGGAUAUAAAGGAGAUUUUUAGAGAGCACGACAUCGAUGGAGAUGGUCGAUUGAGCAUGAACGAGAUGGUGAAGGCCUUCGGGUGCUUUGGCAGUAUUCUUCCUUUCUACAAAGCACACUACGGAAUGGCUCAUGCUGAUGAGAAUGGCGAUGGCUUCAUCGAAGAGGAGGAGCUCGACAAGCUUGUCGACUAUGCCCAGAAGUUUCAGCACAAGAGAAAGUGCUGAGGUUAAUUAUAUGUAAUUUUCCUCAGUCUGCUGGUCAUAAUGUCAUUAACACUUUCAGUUUACAUGCACUACUUUAAAUAUUAUACUCUCAUGUUUAGAAGUUUUAAUGUGUUGUUGUAUAAAUAAAGAAAAGAAAAAGAAGGGCUAGGCUACGUAGCUAAAAUUCCUGCUUUGCCUUAGCUAUCAAAAGGGGAGACGUUGUCUUUGUGUUUCAAAAAAUAAAAUAAAUAAAAAAUAAAAUCAUAUUGAGAUAGUUUAUCUCAUUAUUAUCAUAUUUGUAAGUUGUGCGUUUUUUACAAAGAAAUUGGAGGAAAAUGAUCAACAUAAGUGCAUCCAAAUAUCUCAAUAGAUUGUGUUUACUACUUUUAAAGAUUUUUCUAUAAAAAAAGAAAAGAAAGUAAAACAUCAAUCUAGCUAAAUCCUUUUGAAUACUUCGACAUCUAUUUAUCUCUUUACUCUAUUAGUGUUUUCUUUUUCUUUUUAAAAAACUAGUCUUAAUAUUAUUUAAUGUUACUGUAUAUAUCAUAUAUCGCAUUUUAUAUAAAAUUGAAUGGUAUAUUUAAUUUUUAAAUUAAAAAAUUCAAUAUUGUACGAUCAUGUAUUCAAUACAUGAUUACAAUACCUUUGUUUUCAAAGCACCUUGGUUCUUGAAAAAUCAGAACUCUAUGAUUCUUCUUAACCAAAUCGGUUAUGGUGAUUGCCCUAAUUUUGCAUUCUAAGGGCUCAUUUUGGGAAGCUUGUCUAAAAGUUACAAUAGCAUAUUCAGAGCGUCGUAUCACACUUUAAUUCUCUGUAGGACAUGUGUUUCGAUGAAACUCUAAAAAAAGGUUUAAACAAAAAUAAAGUGUUUUAUUGAAAAAUACAUUUUUUUUAAAAAAAAUUCAAUCUAACUAACCCUUAAAUUUUAUUUAAAUUUCUAAACUUUUGUCUCGCUAUUUUGGAAAUUUUAUGAAGUUUACGUUUGGAUAACCUUUAGAAGUAAGACUUUAUUUUAGUGUGCAAUUGUUUUAAACUGAGUUUAAAAUUUGAUUAUUAAGGAUGUGUUCUCGACGAAGAAUUUUGGAAUAUAUGGGCAUAUGGAUGGAAGAAAACUAAAGCCCCUUGGAUGACGAUAAACGUAGGAGGAAUAUAAAUUUACAACCCAUCAUACUUUUUUUUUCCUAUGAUGAACCAUAGUCAAUCCACCUUUUACAAUUAUAUUUUUAAAGGCUCAUCUUGGUCACCAUCUUACUUUUAUUGGUUUGUUCUCAAAUUAUAUUAGUUUUUACAGUAACAUUUUAUUAAAUCACUUAUGUAUCUUUUUCAAAAAAAAAAAUAAAAAAAAAUCACUGAUUAAUUAAUAAAAAACUUAGGCUAAAUGUUGAUAGAACGUAUAUUUUUAGUACUUUAUGUUAGUUCAGGUACUUAGUAGUUCAAAGUUGUUUAUUUAUACAUUUUUUUUAAGAAAGCAAUUGUUUCUUAAAUACGAUAAGAACAUAUGAAAACACAAUGCCUAUCAGAAAUUAUUAAGUAAAAAAUUAAGAUUUUUAAUUAACCAACGUAGGUUUUUUCUAGGUCUACAAACAUGACAGCUUAAAGAAGAUGGACAGCAACUUAAAAUUAAAAUUAAAAUAAUAAUAAAAGAAAUUCCUCAACUUUGUCCUUUAUUUUAAAAAUAUUUUUAUUCUUUCGAAAGGUAGAAUAUUAUCUUUGACUUUGAACAUUACAAAACUGUUCUUUAGAAAUAUAUGUGUUAAAAUAUCUUAUUGAAGUUAGAACCUGAAAUAGUAUAUGUUGAUGACUGAGAAUGAUGCGGCAGUAUUAUCUUUGAGGAUGGCCUAAUUAAACAUUGUUUUUAUCACUUUUUGCAUUAUGCUCAACAUUUUACUAACAUUUCUUAUCUCUGAAGUAUAUAUUUUUUUACAGAAAAAAAAAUAAUGUUACGUAUGUACAUGUUAAUCUUUCUUCGUUUUCUUUAUAAGAAACCAGAAGGCACAAAACACACAAAACACAAUUACAAAAACUUUCUAUAGCUGAAAGAUGAAAUGGGAAUAUGAUUCCAGUGAAGAAAUUUAGAGAUAAUACGACUUUUGAUAAUGCAUUAUAAAUACCAUUCGCUUUCACUACUUGAUGAUACAUAUCAAACAAAAUCUUAAAGCCACGUCUAACUAAAACCCUAAAGCCAACCACAAGAAUGGAAGAAAAAAGUCUUUUUGUUGCACUCCAAAAGCCUCUGUCAGAGAAGGAAGCAAACCUUCUGCUCGAGAUGCGCGAUGCCAACGGCGAUGGAGUUCUCGAUAAGCAGGAACUGAUGGCUGACUUGACACACACUAACAAAAAACCCUCCACAAGCUUACAAGACAUGAAACUCACAAGGGAAGAGAUCAAAGAAAUUUUUGUAGGUUUCGACAUCGAUGGCGAUGGUUUUCUAAGUAAGAAUGAGGUAAUACAGGCCUUCGGUAUGAUGGGUUCAUGCUCCCCGAUUAUGAAAGCUCACUACGCCAUGGCUUGUGCUGAUGAAGAUGGCGACGGUCGCAUUAGCGAGCCUGAACUUAAUAAACUCAUUGAUUAUGUUCAGAGAACCAUUAACAGGAGGAGGUUAAAUUAAUUAGCUAUGAGACAUAUUCAUAUGUAUGUAUGUACUGCUACAUAAUAAAUUUAAAGUUUCAAAAUAACUUUUGAAUUUAAUGUGGGUGGAGGAUUGAACUCAAAUUAAAACUAUUAGAUUAUUGGCAGGUUAAAAAUAGCUUCUAGAUCCUAAACCUUUCUAAAAGAAAUAAUUGAGUUAUAUAAAUGAAAAUAUAGUUUGAGACAAUUUAUUAGUUUGGUGUACUUUUGAAUUUGAAGCAAUUUGGUUCCCUAUACUUAUAUUUGUAAUAAUUUAUGAAAGAAGAGUUGUUGAUAUCCACUUUCCCUUCCUUUCAGCUCCCUCUCUUUUUCCCUUUUGGCACCAUCACCACAGUUCACAUUAGAGCAUUCACCAAUCGUUCACCCGUUGGAAGCGAUCAUGCGCCAUUCGUCCUCAUUUAUCAGCCGUUUUUCAUCACCGUCAACUUUCGUAGGCCACUUAUUGUUGGAUAGAAAAUUAUUGCGAAUAUCACGUGACUAUAAGAAUAUAUUGAUUAUAGUAGUUUAUCGCUAAUAAAUUUCGUUAUAUUUAUCAAAUUUUUGUAGAAUAUUGUCGUACACUUAAAGUCCCAAAGUUGCUGGGCUGCUGCUUUGUUAUGGCCCAAGUGGGAAUAAGGGUUUGAUCCGAUCUGAAUUUUGGUGGCAGGUAUAAAGGAGGGAGAAGAAUAGGAAACAUGGAGGAAUUGCACAUGGGUGAUGUAAAUUCAAUAAUCCUAAUUUCAAUUGUAUAUCCUUUGAUUUUUUGAAAUCAGAAUUGAAAAUCUCUCUCUAAACUCUGCUCUUUCCAUUAUGAUUUUUGGAAUAAAAUUACGAACAACUCAAACAUGGAAAUAGAGGAAAGGCCAUGAUGUACGUGGUUGGGUUAAAUGAACCCUAACCAUAAGUGGAAGAUUUAUUCUUUUGAAGGCUACAAGAAGAUAUAUGGUUUAUUUAUUUCAUUUUUUUUUUUUUAAUUUUACAGCAAUGAUCUAUUUGUGUAUGGGUAUUAUCUGUUGCAAUGAAACUCUUAGGAAAAAUAAAGCCGUUGGAAUCAAAUUAAAUAUUCUUCACCAUGUAUACAAAGUGAAGACAUUUUACCACGGGUGACACAUACAAUAUUGCAGAAAACCAAAGUACAACAACAAACAACAUACAUGGCUCCAUUGUAGAGCAUAAACCAUAUUGACCCAAAACCAUACGAGCAAACACAUAGACAUAAAUAAUACAAAAUAGAUUACUUGGUCGACCGACUUGAUUUAUCAUCCUGCCGUUGCUUUGCAUUAUUAAACCUCAUGACAUGGUCGACGAGUUUCUCCAACUCGUUUUCAUCACAGAAACCAUCACCAUCUUUGUCAGCAAAAGCCAUCCCAUAGAAAGCUUUCUGGAAUGAAUUGAUCAUAAACCCCGUAGAGCUUAGGGCUUGCAUCACCUCUUGAUAUUUUUCUUCUAGUAGUUCAACAAAUCUUGCCUCAUCUUACUCCUUAACUAAAUCAUCUCUCUAACCUUUUCCUAUUUUGGUUUUGAUUUUUGAUUUUACCUUUUUCAACUUGUUAUUUGAAAAUAAGCUAUUAGCUACUCUCAAGCAUUCUCAUUCUCAUUCUCAGUUGAAAAUACAAUGGCUAAAAACUUAACAAAUUUAGGACUACAAGAAGCAAGAUGAUAUUUUAACUUUUUUAAAAAAGAAACAUUUAUUUUUCCAAUUACUAUAUGUCGAAUCCCACUAAAAAUAAUCCAAAGUGAAAGAGAUGAGAUAUAUCUAAUUUCCCCCUCGCAUUAUUAUUCAAGAGUCUCUAUCAAUGCAUGGGAUUAUUCUAGUUGGGUGGAAUUGAAUGUGGCCUUCUACUUCUAGAAUCUAACCUAAUAAUCUUGACUUACUUCCAUUUGGUCCUUACGAAUUCGAUUCCACAUAAUCAGAAGGUGACGACAUCAUAUCCAUAUCUAUCAUCCUUGUUGAUUCUUUUAACAUUAAAUAAAGAAAAUUUGUAAAAAUAGCAAAAUAUAUAUAUAUAUAUGAUAAUAGAGUCCAUGUCAUUUUACAUUUUUAAAAUUACAAAAACAACAAAUUUAAAAAUAGUGAUUACUGUCAUAUUUGCAAAUUUUGCAAUAUGCAAAAAAGAGGUGUUAAUUAGCUGUUUUUUCCUAUUUUUUUAAUCAUUUAAUGCAAUUUUUCUUAAAUAAAUUAAAAUUUUGUUUAUUUGUCACAUAGUUGGUAGUUUGUUGGUUCAGUUUUACUCUUUGAUUUAAACUAAAAGUGAUUAGACUUUAAAUGGAUAUUUGUUUUAGGAUAAUAAUUGAGUGCAUGUCCAGUAGCACCUAUCUCUAUGGAUACUAUCUUUAUUAUUCACAAAAAAAAAAGAAAUAAAUUAUUGUAAAAAACGCAAACAAAUUGUUAUAUGUCAAACAAUAUGGUUGAACUAUUUGGUGAAAUAUAUACAUGUAAGUAUUAAUUUUGUUAUUUUGAAUUUAUUCAGUAUAGUAUAAUAAAAAGUGUAGAAAAUUCAAAUAGGUAUUUGAUAAUAUACAUACAUAUAUACAUAUAUAUUGUAGAUACCCUAUUUUGUCAUAUAUUUAUUUAUUAUAAAAGAAAAAGGAAAAGAAAAAGAAAUUAAAUUUGAAUUUGAAUUUGAAUUUAUAUUUUAAAAACAAUAAUAAUAAUAAAAUAAAUACAUUUAAAAAUAAAUAAUAAAAAUAAAAAUAAAAGGUUUGUUUCCUUCCUAUUUUUUCUCAAAUAUCCAUUUUUCUUCGUCAUCACUCUCCCACUUUCUCCCACUCUAUCACUUUCUCCCACUCUUCCACUUUCUUCCUAUUUUUCUGUAGUCUGCACUCCAUCUCGUGAUCUAAAAAAACAAUGGACCUUGCCCUAUAAAAAGGAAAGAGAAAAAAAGAAAAGGGAGAAUUUUUUUUUAUUAUUAUUGGAGGAAAAAAGAAAGAAGAUCAAGAGGAGUAACCUUUGGCAUUUAAGGGCAGAAGUUUUUUUUUUUUUCCUAUUUUUAUUCUUGUUUGAUGAUACUGCUUUUAAUUAUGAACUAUCGUGUUCAUCAUUGUUCAUCAUUUUACCGUCAUUUGACAUGUUAAUUUAAUUAUUUGUAUUUUUUUUAAUACUAAGCAUUCUAUCUUCCGUUCUAUAUUAAUUUUUUUUAUUUUUUUAAAUAUUGAGCUGUUCUGUGUUAUUUUUUUUUUUGUUGGGUAUCCAUUGUGUUAAUUUCCUUUUAUUAUUGGGCAUCCACUCUAUGUUAAUUUACUUUUAUUAUUGGGCAUCCACUCUGUGUUAAUUUUCUUUUAUUUAUUGGGCAUCCAUUCUGUGGUGAUUUCCUUUUAUUAUUGGGCAUCCAUUCUGUGUUAAUUAAUUAGCAUCAUGUAUUUGUAUUUGGAUACUCAUUUUUCAUUGGCACCCAUUUUACAGUUAAUUACUUAUAUCCAUAUGACAACAUGCCUUAAUAAUUAUGCAUAAUUAAUCAAUUAACAUCAUGUAUUUGGUAAUACUCAUUCUUCAUUGGCAUCCAUUUUACAGUCUUUGUUAAUUACUUUAUCCAUAUAUCCAUAUGGCAGUACUGCGUUAAUAAUUACUGCUAUCCAUAUAUUAUCAAUGUUAAUAAUUAUCCAUGAUAUAAUUAAUAUUUGGCAACACCCAUUUUUCAUUUGGCCUAUUAAUUAAUUAGCAACUUGUAUGUGACAUUUUCACCCACUCAUUCUAAUUAUUUGCAUGAUGUAUUAAUUAAUCAGUAUGCAUCUGGCUAUAAUUAUUUGAUAUUCAUUUUGGUGUGAUUAUUUAUUUGCAAUAUUAUUUAUUUGCAUAUCGGGUCAAACCUACUUUGGCAUUCAACUGUUAAUUAUUAUUUGAUAUCCAUUUGGCCCUCGUUUAAUUAUGCAUUAAUCAAUUAUUUUGUAUCAUGAAUUAAUCAAUUAUUUUUUGCAUCUUGCAUGUGUUGUAUUAAUUAAUUAUCUUUGCAUGUGUUGUAUUAAUUAAUUAUCUUGCAUCCUACAUUAAUAUCUUUUACAUUUUGCAUAUAUUAUCAAUGUAUUUAUUUUAUCUCAGCAUAUUACACUUAAGUAUUUUUCAAAUUUCAUAAUGUUUUGUCAUUGUUAUUAUUCAUUUUUUUUAUUUAAAUAUAAUAAUGUAAAUUGGAGAAAAAGUAUUGUUUUCUUAUGGAUUUUAUAAUUUAAAAACCAUGAAUACAUGAAAUUUUUCCGUUUGAAAUUUAAUUAAUAGAUUGUUUUUAAAUUAACACAUUUCAUAUUUUAAAUGAGACUGAGUAGUAUUUUCUAUGAAUUUAUUAAUUCUAGAUAUAUGAAUUUUUUCAUUAAACACCUAUGAUAGAGAUUAAAAUAUCAAGUUUUUGGUAUCUUAAUAUUCUUAAGGUGAAUAAAAAUAUUUUAAAACAAAAAUAAACUUAAUUUUUCUAAUGGCUCCUAUGCCACCCAUAAUUAUCAAUUCAUGCUUAGGUUUUACUUUCUUCGAUAUGAAUUGAUAAACAUGAGACAUUUAAACAAAACCUAAAUAAAAACUUUGUUAUGUGAACCCUUAUAUUUAAUUUAAAAGAUAAAAUUGGGUAACCAUUUUGUGGGUGUUGUAGGGUGCUAACACCUUCCCUACACACAACUGACUCCCGAACUUAAAUCUCUGAAUUUACGUAGACCAUUCUUUUUUUUUUUUUUUUGGUGACCAAUCACACCUUAAUAUGAUUGGUGGCGACUCCAAAAUUAUUUAUUAAAAUAAAAUAAACGGGGAGGUCGGCCGCUCCGCGUAGCGAUCACGUCGCGACAUAUAUAUAUAUAUAUAUAUCAAACAGGGCUCAUUUCCUUUCAAAAAGAGUUAUGUAAUGACAUGAAACAUCACAAAUAAAAGUUGGAAAAAGAGGAAUAGAAAAAUUAGAAAAGAAAAGAGAAGGAUUAUCACCUUUUGUAAGAAUAUGGUCCCUUUUGUCCCUUUCGAAAGAAAUGUAGGAACCUAUUUUCCUCAAUUGUUAAAUUUCAAUAUAAAUAAUCAAAAUGAUUGUAAAUUAAAAUAUUUAUAAAUAUAAUAUAAUUAAAUAAUCUCAAAAUUUUCUAUAUAUAUUUUUUAUAAUUAUUUUAGUUUAUUUUAUUAUAUUUGGAAUGUUAUUUUUUCUUCCAUUAUUAAUUUUUUAGGUAAUUAAAGUGAAAGAUUUGAUUCAAGUACUAGUAAUUGCAAGGUUUUUAUUAGCACCCAUCGCUGGAAUUGUUUAAAUAUAAAAUUUAUAUGUGAAAGGAUUAAUUAAAGAAUAAACUAGUUUAGGGUAAUUGACUCACGGAGUGAUCUUCAUCCUACGUAUAAUAGUGGUGUUUGAGCAACAAUGUUGCUAGCUAGCUAGCUUGUGAUCUCUAUCUAUGUCUUCAUAUAACAUUAAUACUUCUAUUGAUCUCAAUUUUCCUCUAUGCUUCUAUCCGUUUAAUUAAACCAAUCUUCGUGUUAGUUUAGAAUAAUCAUAAGUUUUGAAUUAAUUAAUUUUUAGUGAUGACUUUGUUUCUCCACCCCUCACAAAGUUGAACUAAAAAAAUUGAUUAAUAACCGGGGUUAUCAGUCCUUUAUUUUCUUCAAAAUAAUAUUUACUUAUAUUACCCUAAUGUUUAAAAUUAUAUCCUGAAAACCAUGUGAAUAACACUUAAAAGAACAAAAAGGCAUUGUUUGAAAAAAAUUAUUUAAAAUAUAGAAUCUUUUGAUUUUCAAAAGCAAAGAUUCAGUAAAGAACAACUUUGGAGAUCACUAUCUUUUAGAUGUGAUGUGUGGAAUAAUCGUCCCUGAAGUGGGAGUGAUACAGAUGAUAUACAAAAGAAAAUAUCAGAAAGCACUAACAAUUAAUGAUGUCUUUAAUACUCUUCUAGUGAAUCUAAUUUAUUUCCAAGGACUCUACCAUAUGUGAGGAAUAUUUGACUGCAUCCAUUUUUACGAAGUCUACUUAAUUGUAACUUGUCCUAUGAUAAAUAUUAGUAUUACACAAUCCACAAUCAAUUAGGCCUAGUACUUGGGAAGUUCUCCAAAGAGCAUAUACAGUAGCAAAGUAUUUGAUGGAUGAUAAAUAGAAAUAGGUUAGAUUUUUUUUCUAGGGUUUGCAAUUGAAGAGUUAAUUUCUUUGAGGAACAAUAUUCACAAAGCAAGAGGGAUCAAGAGAUACAUUAAGACAUCUAAACUAAAUUGACACAUCUCUAACACUUUCAACAAAUUCUAUAACUGAAAGAUGUAUUAAUUACAAUGAGAGAGAACAUAAUGAAAGCCAGAAGGAAGCUUGGGACAGUACAUAGAGUUAGAGCUAUACAAGACGAAGGCUUCCAAUUUAGGAAAAUUUUGACAAGGAUAACAGUAUAUCUAAUUUUUAAUAGGAAUGUAAAUUUGAAAACUUGCAUACCCCUAAUAAUCUGUAGAUACAAAUUUAAGUACUUUUAAAAUUUAAUUUUAUGAAUCAAUUAUACAUUAAACUGCAGAGAGCCAUACUAAACACUUUUCAAAACCGUUACCCAGUGAAAUAAUUAAUUCCAAGAACCAUAAUAAUUAAAUAUGGAGUAAUUUUGUAUAAUAAUCAAGUUGAUGAUUGAUUUGUUGUGAAAUAUUUAUGCUCUUGUCUUGUCAUUUCAAAGUACUGUAGCUUUAAGUGGAUGGUUCUUUUUCCCUCCGAUGCAAAUUCCAAAUUCCAAAUCAACUCCAAAUAUCAUAAAUUUAUUCUUCGACAAAUAAAGAAAGAGUACUAUAUAUGAUCAUAAAAUUAUUUGAAUUGGAAUCAUUCAAAUUGUUUGUACUAUAUAUGAUCAUAACACAGUUUUUUUGCAUAGGCUACACUCAUCUCUACCUUAUUAUUAGAAGGUAACCUGGUUAUCAUUGAGCAUGUGAAAGGUAAAUAAUGUAUUUAAUAUAAAAAUCAAGAUCUCUCUAAUUUUUCUUCGACGUGAUAUUCUUUAACCCUAGUUAGUGGGGUACGCUAAGAAAAUGUAGUAUAAAUACACAAAACCACGACCACCAAAGCUCACAAAACAAAACCCCCAUUCCUCCUGAACCUCCUUCUCCAAAGAAAAAAGAAUGGCGUUCCGUUCAGUGAACAAUCUUCAAUUCUGGAAGGAUGACAUGAGGAGAGCUUACAGAGAGAAAGUUGGGAGUUCAAGAAGAAGGCGUAUCAAAAUCCGCGACAUCAUCGACGUCUUAGAAAUCGUCGGACCCAUCAUCCCUCAUUUCUUCGGUAGUAACUCUCUCAGUGCCGGUCCCGACAACUACAGUAAUUAUGGUAAUAACCACAUGAAUGGUAGUUAUGGUCGUCGUGACGAUGACAUGCAUUCUUUCCACUGUGGCGGCGGCGGUGGUGGCCGGUUCGGUCUUGACAUGGGUUCUGGUGAUUAUGGGAAUGAAAGCAGGCACUACGGUGGACGUGGAAAUGGUAACAGUCAGUACGGGAUGAGGAUGGCUCUUGCUGAAGACUAUUAUGAUCGUGAAAUCACCGAGGAAGAGUUUGAGAGGCUUCUUGACUUUGCUGAGCAGAGUCAUAACAAUAAUUCCAGAAUGUACUGAUCAAAAUAUAAUAUAAAAAUUAUAUGUGUGGGACAAAAUAUAAUAAUAUCAACCCCUUCCUUCUUGUAAUCUACACCACUUCUACUCUAUUAUCCUUCUAAUAAAAUUUAAAAAAGUAAUAAUGGACUGCCUUGCUACUCCUUUUUCUUUCUUUUUCAUAAUAAAAAAAAAGUUACUUGAGGUUUUUCUUUCGAUAAAAAUGUUAGAAAUUAAAAAUUUGCAAGUGUUAAGUAAUAUAGGAUUUAUAAUGGCAGUGAAUAUUAUUAGAUAAUAUGAUUAUAUGAAAUUGGUUUUAAGUUUAUCUUAAAUUUAAUUUAGCAUUGUAUUAACUUCAACUAAUUUAGAUUUAUUGAACUUAAUUAAAUUUGAAAGACUAAUUUAAAUUUAAAAACCGUUAGCAAAUAUAAUAAUUAAAUUUAAAGCAAUAGAAUUUAUCACACUUGCCUAUAUUUACAAUUUACCAUUAUUUACCAUUUCUUUUUAAUUAUUAUUUCUAAAAUAUUUUUAUAAUAGUUAUCCUAAAAUUUAUAUAAUAGAUGUCAUUGAAAAUUCAUCUAAAAAAAUUUAUACACCCAGAAGAGUUCGGCCCAUUGAUUGAAGCAGCCUUCUUCCGAUCAUGUUUAAUUUUAUCACUCUUUUCGCCUAAUUAUAUAAGCAUUUCGUAUGAGGAUGAGGGAAAGACAUUAUUCAUUAAAAGCACCUGCAUCAUAUUAGGGAGAGAGUAAAGUUAUUUUUCGUUUUUAAAGAAAUAAAAGUCUUUUUUUUUUCUGUUGAGGUGUCAAUUAGAGAUUUCAUAUCACUUGUAGAAUACGAUGAGGAUGCUAAAAAUGUAUUAAUGUAGUUGAGAGAUGAUUUGGAUGCUUCUGGUGAUUCUAUCAUUUAGUGUCUUUGUUGAAAAAUAUAUGAGGAUUUUAACUUCUUAACGUUAAACUAGAAAAAUAUCCUUAAAUACUAUGGACUAAGAGAGAGGGUCAAUGGGCUUUUACAUGCCAAAUAUACAAACAUGAGAGAACUAAAUAACAUAAAAAGAAAAAGGAAACCGAGGAUAUAUAUAUAUAUAUAUAUAUACGUGAGGACUAUGAACACCGAUGAACAACCUUUGAUUUUCCAGCCACGGUGUAUACUGUAUAACUUGUUUUGUUGUUAUGUAUUAGACUUAUUUAUUUUUCAAAAUAUUUAUGUAUAAUUGCUUUUAAGAGAAAUGUAGUUGAGAAAUGUAUAAUUAUUUUUGAAAAUAUAUAUAUUCAAACAAGUGAUUUGAUAUAUAUAACAGACGAUGCUUUUAGGAAACUUUAGCAAAGUUUAUUGCAUAAAAGAAAAUAGAGUAUUUUUAUAGCAUCUCUAUCACUUCAGAAUAAAAUAUGACAGCAUGAUCUUCCGCGUGGUUUAAUUUACAAUUUGGAUCAACAUUGAAACUUCAAGUUUCGUAAGAUUGUAGGCAAGGGGUUACGACUUGAUCAUAUUUUAAUUUAACAGUAUUGGUGGAUCUCAUGAAGUUUUGAAAAUGUCAACACACGCUGUAUUAUUUCCUUAAUUAAAUGCAUUUAAUUAACACAUUUCAUUAAGUUUUGAAAAUGUCAAACAAUAUUCUUUCAAUUCAUAUUAGCUCAAAAACUUCACAAUCACACUUAGUGAGUUUUCUAAAAUAGCUUGAAUUCGUUAAUUAAAUAAAGGGAAAUUAUCAAACCAGAUUAAACUUUUUUAUGUCAACAGAGUGAUUUAAGAUAGAGCAUGUAGUUUAGGGCUGUUUAAAAAUAUAUAUUUAUUAACUUCUUUGGUACUUAAAAUUUAAAAACAAUUAUUUAACUCAAACGGGUUGUUUUAUUUAAUGUUUUAUUAUACUUCACAUUUUUUUUUUUUAUUUGCCAAUUCAGUUGAUUUUUUUUAUUCUAAUUAAGUGGCAGGGCCUCUUUAUAAACCUUAUUAAAAGGACUGAUACUAGAAUUUACUUUUUGAAAAAAAUACGUUGGAUCAGUAGGUGCACUCGGACAUUUCUAUAGAUAGACACCCGCUUAGCAUCCAGACACUCCACUAUGUGCAUCUAGACAAAAUACUAAGACCAAAAUUAGACAUAUAUCAAAGUGGAAUCAAGAAAUAAACCAUUAUAUUCUUGGAUUAUUAUAGUUUGAUUAAAAUAAUUUAUUUUUGUGGUGUAGAUUAUUUUAGUUUGAGAUAUAAUAGUAUGUGUUCAAUAUAGACUAUUUUAGUUUGAUAAGAAGUAAAUAGUAAACAGUAAAAAAAAAUGAUAAAUAGUAAAAUAGUAAAAAAUGUAGUAAUUAAACAAAAAAAUAUUUUAACAAAUUGAAAAUUUGAAAUAACGUUUACCAUAACUAAUUGAAAACUCUUAAAUACUAUUUAGUGGAAGAAAAAAGGUAGCAUGUUUGGUGCAUUCAAACAAACUCAAACCAAAUAUCUCUCCAAUCAAUUUUCGUACAAUUCUCUCUCCUUUUCUCUUACUCUUCUCUACCUCGUAGAAUCAAGAGAAAUUGUAUUAGAUGACAAGAAUAUUUAAAAAAAGACAAUAACUGACACUUUUUUUCUUUUGUAUAUUAUGAAUAUGACAAAUAUGAUUGGUAAUUAGUGAUACUAGAUAAUUAUCAAUUUUCAAAAUUUAUUAUUCUAAUUUAGAAAAUAUAGUGAAACGAAUUCUAUAAUUAUAAUUAUAUAUAUAUAUAUAUAUAUUUUGUUAUUUUUUUUGGAAGGAUUCCUAAAAUUAAAUAUAAUAUUCUCUCUCCAAUAUUCUCUCCCUUUAUUAAAUACUAACAUGUGUCCUGCAUGUUAAUUUUUUUAAUUACAAUUAUUUCCCAUCUAAGUAAACAUAUAUUAUUUAUAUUUUAUUGGCUUUUUUAAAAAAAAUUAAUUAUUCUUAAAAUAUAAAUAAAAAGGAGACAUCACCAACACUUAUUUUUACAUUGACAUAAAAUAAAUAAUUUUUAAUUAAACAUAAUAAAAAUAAAAUGUAAAAUUACACCUAUUUAAAAAAACAUUUUACUUUAUCCAUCAUUUCUCCGAUAUUUAAAGUCACGAUGUCAUAAAACAUAUUAUAUCAAACUAUUUCUAUCAAUUAGACAUAUCAAAGUUUAAGGAAAAUUCUCCUAAAAAUUGGCAAAGUAUUACAAUUUCUCCUAUCCGUGGUAGGAUAUCCUUUGAUAAAAUAUUGCUUUUUUUUAAAAAAAAAAGAUUAUUUUCAAAUCUAUUUAGAGAGUUUCACAUGGUAAAGAUAACAUUUUGUCUCUAAUAGAAAUUCUAGCCAUUGAAGUUGGUGAGUAAGGAGACUUUGGAGGUUUUACUUAGCUACUACAAGAAAUUAAGUUUUCACUCACGUAGAAAAAACGUUAUUAAAAUAUAAAAGAACAUUGUUAAAAAUAUUAAGAACAUCAUACCAUUCGUUGCUAAGAUUGUUGUAAUAUUCUGUAGCUAAAAAUUUCAGCUACACAACAAAUGCACACGCCGCAAAAUGUCUGCUUUUAGUGAUAUUUGUGCAUUACUAAAUACUUUUAGUAACAUAUAUGUUUUGAUACUAUUUAUCUUUUAUAGUGACCUAAAUUAAGUUAAUUUUUUAAGAAAAUUUAAUUUUCAAUCUUUCUUUACAUAGUUUUUACCUCUCUUAAAUAUAAUCUUAGAAGGUAUUUGGAAUGCAAAAAGUGAGUUAUAUAUUAUAUAAUUUUAGGUUAUUAUAAUUUGCUUAGAAUAGUUUAUUUUUUAGACGUAAAUUAUUUUAAAUUGAGUUAUAAUAUUAUGUGUUGAUGUGUAUGCUAUUUUAGUUUUAUAAAAAUGUAGCAAACAAUAAAAAGAUGAACGAAUGUAAAAUAGUAAAAAAUGUAACAAGUAAUUGUUACAUUAACGAAUUGAGAAUUUUCAAAUAAUAUUUAUCAUUCAAUUUUCAAUAGUAUUGUGUGGAGCAAUAAAUAGUUAUUAUAAAGUUUGAUAAUGUUUGCCCCAUAACCACAUUUUUAUGUAUUAAAAAAAACUGAAAUCAAAUAUCUCUCACCUCUUAUCUUCCGAUCUGUUCCAUAAAAUCAAAUAUAAUAUUUUCUCAUUCCUCACUUUCUUUCUCUCUGCAUUCUCUUUUCGUUUAUUAAAUAUUAACAUGUGUCGGGCAUGUUUAAUUUUUUAUUUUUAUUUUUAAUACACCAUAUGAUAGAUAUCGGUUUUUUAAUACACUAUAAAAUAAACUAAUAAACUUGUGGAAUUUUUUACUAAUUAAUUAAUUAUGACUAUUAAUUUUAAUUAACUAUUGAACAUUAUUAAGGGUACAAAGAAAUUAUUAUCAUCAAUUACCAACUCUAUAUAAAGACUCCUUCCACAAAGAAAAACUCAGGCACAAAUAAAUUGUUAUCAUAGAUAUCAGAGGUUGGCCAUUUGGCAAAGUACGCCCGCUCUCGAAUAUAUCAUUGAAAUGGCAACGUCGAGGUCUCAAUUGAAGUUGACUAGGGACGAGGUUAGGGAGAUCUUAGAAGAACAUGAUGUGGACGGUGAUGGUCGCCUGACUAAGCAAGAGGUGAUGCAAGCCCUGAACUCCAUGGGUGUUAUGAUGUCGUUUCAGAAAGCUCACUAUGGUGUUGCUUUUGCUGACAAAGAUGGAGAUGGUGCAGUCGAUCUAGAAGGUGGUGAGAUUGAUUCGCUUGUUGACUAUGUCAUGAGGUUUCAGGCCUCAAAGGACGUCCCUAAAGAUGCCAGCCCAGAAGCCUUGCCAUGAUGGUGAAUCGAAUUGUGUAAUAAUCUUAGCUUAUUUCUAUUUUUUAUGUGUUCAUCUUCGUCGUCGUACCUGUUUUUCAGCCCAUAUUGUUUAUGUUACAAAUUGAGCUAUGGUUAUGCUCAAAUUGACAAUUAUCCACGCAUGUUUGUUGUCUACAAUAUUAUUGUGUCAUCGGUGAUAAAAAUGUCUUUCUUCUUGAAUCUACGGAUUAUUAUAUAAUAAACAUCCCUAAACUAAUAUUAAAAUUGUCAAAUUUUUCUGUUUCAUUAUUUCAUUUCAUGCAAACGUGUGAAUUAUUGUUUUAACUUUACACCGUAUAAAUAUAACUAUUAAUUAAAUAAAAUCUAACAUAAAGUUUACAAACAUUUACAAUCAGAUAAAGUUUAGUACAUAGAAGAAUAUUUUGAAUAUGUUAUUUAGUAUUCCGAACACCCAAAACUUAAGUGGUAUUCGAAUACUUAUUUUAUUUAUGAUUUUAACCAUAAAAUUAAGAGAAUUGUAAUAUAUAAACUCAUAAUUCUAAAGAGUGCUUCUUAAUUUAUAGUUUGAUAAUUUUUCUUUUUUAAAAAAACUUGCUAUCUCCCUGAAUUCAUGGAUCCGUGUACAACUAACACAUCAUUAAUCAACUAUAUAAUUGUAUCAAUUAUCUAUUGUUUACUUUUUUUUUUUUUUUGUUAAUUUUUUGUUGCCCAUUUCUUAACAUUGCAGGUAUAAAAUUGUAUUUGAUAACUGGCAAAAUUACAUGUUCAAAAUAUAAUAGAAAUGUUCUAAAUAAAUUAACGCCAUAAUGAACCAAUUAAAACAAGAAGUAACCAAAUAAAUGUGUUAAGACUUAAGAGUAUACAAACGGUAAAACACACCAUAUUAACAUUCUCAUGUAAGAAUACAAAUGUGUAUACAAAUCAAGGUCUUCACUGUUUGCAUAGCAUAAGCAACACCUCUUUGGAUUCAGACACAUGGUCUUACACUUUUUUUGCAUGACUUCUAUUGUAUUUAUUUUCCUAUGAAAAACUGUUCAGAGAAAGAUUUUUCAUUUCUUUGGAAUUGCUGAAGUCCAAAUUAUUUCGAAGAUUUUUUGGUGCUCGUUCCUUAGAUGAUGUCGUUGGGGGUCUUGUAAUGCCUUUUCUGCCGAGUCUGUGGAGAAAUCUCUGUUUCCAUUUUUUAUUAGAUUGGUGAGUUGGUGCCUUGCAGUGAGUUGUGUAUUGGAAGAAAGGAUUUUACAUUAUCCCAUAAAAUGAUCUCUCUAUCGUUUAAAAGCCUUCUAGGCUUUAUGUUCCAAUCAUUUGAGUUAGGAAGCCAGACUUCAUUUACUGCUUCAGUUUUUGAAUUGUGCAAAGCAUAAAGCCUUGGGUAGGAAAUGGCUAGGGGACUUUUAUCAUUCCAUCUACCAUACCAAAAGGAUAUGUUUUCUCCAUUGUUAAUUUCCCAUUUGAGGUUGCUUUCAAACCAUAAUUUGUUUUUGAUUAUGGACAUCCAAGGGGCCCUUGCACUACAAAACUUUCCAUGUGGUGGUAGAUCUCCAAUGUAGUUAGUCGAGUACUUAGCGCUGACGAUCUUCCUCCAUAAGGCAUUUGGUUAUGAUAAAUAGCGCCAUAGCCAUUUACAUAGGAGAGCAUUAUUUGUGUGAUUCAGCUUGGUGAUCCCCCAGACCUCCGUUUUCUUUUGGACUGGUGACAAUAUCUCAGUUGAUAAGAUGAGAUUGUGAGGACUUAGAGUUGUCAGAAUUUGAACCCCAAAGGAAGUUUCUCCAGAUUUUUCAAUCUUUUUUUAGACCAUUGAAGGAGCUUUGAAGACUGAAAGUUGAUAGGUUGGGAGGCUACAGAGGCUGGCUUGAAGAAGAGUGUACCUUCCACCUUUAGAGAGUUGAAAAUAUUUCCAACCGUUGAGCUUUUUUUGGAUUUUUAAGAUUAUAUUGUCCCAGAAACUCAACGAGUUUGGUUUACCACCUAAAGGGAUGCCGAGAUACAUUAUAGGGAGAUUUUCAGAAUUUAUUUUAUGCUCGUUUUUCACCACAAUGCAACGAGAAAUUGAGACAUUGAUCGGACUUAUUGUUGAUUUAUUUUUAUUGAUGGAUAGACGGGAAGCCUUUUCAAAGAGAUUUAGAGCACACCUUAAAUUUGUAAUGGCCUUAUCAUUGUCUUCAACAAAGAUCAGAAUAUCGUCUACAUGAAGAAUAUGGUUUAGGUUGCUGUCAUUUUUGAAAACCACACCUUGAAUGGCUUUGGAGGAAUUUAAAUGAUUCAAAAUUGCACUGAGGUAAUCUAGAGCCUAAGACAAACAUGAAAGGAGAAAGAGGGUCUCCUUGUCUUAGACCUCUUCUAGGCAGAAUUUUGCCUUUUUGUUGGCCAUUCAAUAUGAUUGAGUAAUGAGCUCUUGUGAUUCACGCUUUAAUCCAAUUUCUCCAAUGAAGCCGAAAGUUUUUCUUGAUUAGCAUGAAAUCGAUAGAUUUCCAGUUAAUUGUAUCAAAAGCUUUUUUCAGAUCAAUAUUGAUCACAAAACCUGUUUUUUUGUGCUAGUUUUCCAGUAGUCUAACCACUUCAUUGGCCAAAAGAAUAGCAUCUGUGAUUUGUUUGUGGUUCACGAAAGCAAAUUGAUUUUCCGCAAUUAUGCUUGAAAGCGUCUUUUUUAGCCUCUUAGCUAACACUUUAGCAACAAUAGCUAAGUAGUAAGAUUUAUGGGCCUAAAGUCAGCAUGAGAGGUGUAGGCCUUUCUUUAGCAAUAAGGGAAAUAAAUGUGUUGUUGAUGUUUUUGUUUAUUACUCCUUUUGUAUGGAAAUCAUUGAAAAACUCCAUGAUAUCAUUCUUUAGUAAGUACCCGAACUUUUAAAGAAUUUCAUUGAAAACCGUCUAGUUUGGUCUCGAUGAUUGUUGUUCAUAAAAUCUUACAUUAUCAAUUUAAUCCAAAAACUUAAAUAAUAGAUAAAAGUAAAUAUAAUAUAUAUAGAAAUAGUUAUAAAAUAUACAAUUAAAGUUAAAAUAAUUAAAUAUACCACCAAAUUUUUUUAAAAUUAUAAAUAUAUAUAGAUGUUGCCGAUCUAUAAUUAUAAAGUAAUUAAAUGGAUAGAAACAAUUAGACAACACUACGUACAACGUAUUUUUCAAUUGCAUUUAUUUUCCAGCCUUCACCCAAUAGUCUUACAUUAACUAUAAAAUAAUUUUCUAACUAAAUUUUAUAUUUGUUUUGUUCAACCAUCUUAAUUAUUAUUUAUUAUUUUUUUUAUCAAGAAAACAGUCUAAAUUUAUUAUUCCUUCUAGAGACGAAGGUGUUAAAGAUAUAUAACUUCUACGUGUGAUAUACCAAUAUUCCUUGAUCUCCUAGACUCAUCAUAAAGUUUGAAAAAAUUAUUUCUUAAAUUUAAAUUAAUAUAAUCUCUUUAUAUUUACCAAUUCAACUAGUUACGACUUAGACUUUUUGACUAAUAAAUGGAAGGUUGAAAAAUUUUAACUUUAAAAAAAUUUGAAAUUGAGAAAACCCAAGAAUAAUUAACAGAAGAAAAAACCAUAGACCAAAAAUAAAUUUAAUUAGUAUUUAAGCUUAUGUUAUUAAUUGUAAUUAAUUUUUUUUAAAGGAACCCUAACCAUGUUUCUCAAUCUUUCUCUUCAUAGUCUUUGUCUCUUUCAAACGUUAGAAGGUGUUUAGGGACAAAAAUUGAUUUAUUAUAGGUUAAGGGUGUGUUUGGUUUAGAUUAUAAAGUGUUUAAUUUUGUCAAAAAAGAACUAUUAUGAAAAAAAUGGUAGUGUUUGGAAAAUUAAAAUAAAUGCAUUUUAUAAAAAUUCAUUUAUAAAAUAAUCUAUUUUGGAGAAGUCUUUAAAAACCAAAUUCACACGCAGAAAAGUCUAUAAUCAAACAUCAAGUGUUUAAAUUUUAAACUCAUUUUAAAAAAGUGUUUAAAAAAAAUGUAUCAUUGAAAAAUAUUUUUUUUAAUUCAAUCCAAAUAAAUACUAAAAUUAUUAUAGUUUGUGUGUGAGGCGUACAUUAUUUUAGCUUUAAUUAUAAGCUAGGCAAUUGAAGAGCAAUAAAUAACUCAUGUUUGCCCCCAAAACCUAUCACAUGUUAUUAUCAAGAUAACAUUAAAACCAAUAAGAUAAGACAGGUUUUCUAAUACCCUAUAAAAUAAACUAAUAAACUUGUGGGAUUUUUUACUAAUUAGUAAAUAAGUAUUAAUUAAUCAUGACUAUUAAUUUUAAUUAACUAUUGAACAUAAAUAUAUUAUUCAAACGUACAAAGAUCAAUUAUUAUCAACUCUCUAUAUAAAGACUUUCUGCAAAGAAAAACUAUCAUCAAUUACCAACUCUAUAUAGACUCUUUACGCAAAGAAAAACUCUAAGAAGACAAAGAAAUUAUUAUCAUCAAUUACCAACUCUAUAUAAAGACUUCUUCCACAAAGCAAAACUCUAAAGGCACAAAGAAAUUAUUAUCACAGACAUCAGAGGUUGGCUUUUUGACAAAGUACCCCGCUCUCGAUCGUAUCAUUCAAUGUCGGUGUCUAGAUCUCAAUUGAAUUUGUCGAGGGAUGAGAUGAUUAAGAAGAUUUUCGAAGAGUAUGACGUGGACGGAGAUGGAACCCUCACCAAGCAAGAAGUGAUGCAAGCCAUGGACGCCAUGGGUUUUAAGAUACUGUUCCAGAUGACUCAAUUUGGUAUUUCUUUUGCUGACAGAGAUGAUGAUGGUAAGGUUGAUCAAGAUGAGUUGGAGAAACUGAUCGACUGUGUCAUCAGGUUUCAAACCCGCAAGAGAGUCUGCAGGCGGCCGGUUAAUUCGACAGAAAAAACAAGAUGAUGAAUCGAGACCAUGUAAAUCUAUUUUCAAUUUAGGUGUUUGUUUGUUUUCAGUCAAUAAAUGGUUUAUGCUACCAUAAUUGAGCGCGUUAUGCUCAAAUUUAUGUGUUUGUUUGUUUGUUUUGUUAUACUUUUGUUGUCUGUAUGCAGAAUAUUGAUGUCUCUCCCUCUCUAAUUUAUGAAUAUAUAUGUUUCAACUUUACAUUAUCUAUAGAUACACACACUUCCGUAAUUUUGUUAAAUAAAUAGUUCAAAUUUGUAAACAAUGAAACAAUCGUGGCCAAAAUCACAGCAUCAAUCGCACAACCAGUCGUGUCAAAUUGUAGCUAUUAAUGUAAAUUCUGUAAAUUAGGCUAAUUACAUUACAUUAGGCUAAUUAUAUUACAUUCCUUAUUUAAUUUGGGUAAUUUAGCUAUUUAUGUAACAUUUGAUACUCUUGUAAAAUACAGAAAAUUCAUCAAUAAAAUACAAAAAGAAUAUUCCUUUCACAUGGUAUCAGAGCCAAAAACCCUAGAUCUACUUUAAUCGUCGUCGUCGCCGCCGACCGCCCGUGAACCGCCGCGUCUUCGUUAACUCCAAGAAGCGCUGCGCGCCAAAAAGUAGAUCUCUGUCCCGUGUGUUCAUCGCUCAGCACGUCGUUCCGUCACAGCCUCGGUGUCGCGCCAUUCCGUCAAGUCGUAGCCUUGGCGUCACGGCGUUCAAAUCAUCGCGUCGUCCUGUCCGUUCUGAAGCGCCAGUCGUCACCGCUGAGUUACAACCCCCUCUGCCGUUCCAAGCCGCACGCGACUCCUCUGUCUUCCCAAGCCGCACGCGACUCCUCUUCCAGUCGUGAGUGCAAGACGACGCCAUCCACCAGAUCUGACGAAUCUUCCAGGUGACUGUCUUCAUUCGUUUGUCUCUGCUCACAGCCGUGAACCUCUGUCCGUAAGCCGUGACCCUCUGUCCGUAUCCUGUCCAUUGUUGCAACCCAGCCGUGAAGACAAAUCCUGACCGCGAAUCCAGUCGUGUCCUUGCCGUCGCAACUCAGCCGCGACCCAGACAAGAAGACGCUCACCUGUCACGAAUCCCAGCCUUGCGAAUCCCAAUCGCAAAAUCCAGAAUCUGACGAAUCCAGUCACGAAUUAAUCGAAACUCAGCCGGAAAUUCUCAUUGUUAACCUCAACUGCGAAUCCAAAUGGAGAGAGACCAUGUCUUGAGACCCAUUGGUACAAUUCUUGAUGGUACAAAUUAUAUCACAUGCAUGGGCAAAUCAAAUGAAAAGUUUUCUUAUUGGAAGAAAACUAUGACGCAUUGUAACUGGUGACAUAACCAAACCAAUUGCACAAAACAAGGACAAGGAAGGAGAUAACAAAUUCAUUGAACACCUCGAAGAUUGGGACAGUAAUUAAAAAUCAUCAAAUUAUCACCUGGCUUGGUAACACCUCUAUUCCCGCUAUACAUGCACAGUUUGAUGCCUUUGAUGAUGCUAAAAAAUUAUGGGAUUUUUUGUCUACACGCUUCAAGUCUAUUGGUUUAGCCCAUUAUUAUCAACUGCACAAUACACUUGUAAAUCUAAAUUAGGAUAUUGGUCAGUCUGUCAAUGAAUAUUUGGCAGUUCUUCAACCCAUUUAGACUCAGCUUGACCAAGCAAGCAUCAGCAAAGAUCGUCUUCGCCUUAUUAAAGUCCUUAUGGGAAUACGCCCAGAAUAUGAAUCUGUUAGAGCUGCUUUACUACAUCGGAAUCCCUUACCCUCAUUAGAUGCAGCUAUUCAAGAAAUUAUGUUUGAAGAAAAGCGCCUUGGCAUCAAUUCUACUAAACAAUCUAAUGUUGUCCUUGCCAGCACAUACACUCCCAACAGAGCCUCAAAUAUGUUUUGGAAGAAUUGUAAGCUCUCUCGUCACAAAUUUAUUAACUGUCCUAAAAUAGAGUGCAGGUACUGCCAUAAACAUGGUCACAUUCUGGAUAACUGCCCUACCAGACCACCCCGACCUCCUGUCACUUCCACAAAAGAGAAAAAUUUUACUAAACCUGGUUCCUCAUCUGUUGUUGCUGCAACCUCGGAUGAUUCAUCCCUCAUUCAGAUAAGUGAUCUUCAGAGCUUAUUGAAUCAACUAAUUUCAUCAUCCUCUGCUCUUGCUGUCUCAUCAGGUAAUCGAUGGCUUCUUGAUUCUGCCUGUUGUAAUCAUAUGACCUCUGACUUUUCUCUUAUGUCUACUUCUAGCCCUACAAAAUCUUUACCUCCUAUUUAUGCUGCUGAUGGUAAUUGUAUGAACAUCUCUCAUACUGAUACCAUUGAUACUCCCAGUUUACAUCUUCCCCAUACUUACUGUGUUCCUAACCUGACCUUUAAUCUAGUGUCUGUUGGUCAAUUAUGUGAUCUUGGCUUAAAUGUUUCAUUUUCUCCCAAUGGUUGUCAGGUUCAGGAUCCGCAGACGGGACGGACGAUUGGAACGGGUCGCAAAGUGGGAAGAUUGUUUGAGCUCACAUCACUUCAGGUUUCAUCUCCUUCUUCCAUCUCUUCUUCAGUCACUUAUUCUGACACAUAUCAGUGGCAUCUUCGUCUUGGUCAUGCUUCUUCUGAAAAACUUCGUCAUUUAAUUUCUGUUAACAAUUUGAAUAAUCUUACUAAGUUUGUUCCUUUUAAUUGUUUGAAUUGCAAACUUGCUAAACAACCUGCCUUAUCUUUUUCUCAAUCCAUCUCUAAUUGUGAUAAACCUUUUGAUUUAGUGCAUUCUGAUAUUUGGGGUCCUGCCCCAAUUACUACUGUUCAUGGUUAUCGCUAUUAUGUUUUAUUCAUUGAUGACUACUCUCGAUUUACAUGGAUUUACUUUCUAAAACAUCGUUCUGAAUUAUCUCGCACAUAUAUUGAGUUUGCUAACAUGAUUCGCACUCAAUUUUCCUCUCCCAUCAAAAUUCUUCGCACUGAUAAUGCUUUGGAAUAUAAAGAUUCCAUCCUUCUUUCUUUUCUUUCCCAACAGGGCACUAUUGUUCAGCGCUCUUGCCCUCAUACCUCUCAACAAAAUGGACGUGCUGAGCGCAAACAUCGUCACAUUCUUGACUCAGUACGUGCCCUCCUUCUUUCUGCCUCUUGUCCAGAAAAAUUCUGGGGUGAAGCUGCCCUUACAUCAGUAUAUACAAUCAAUCGUCUUCCCUUCUCUGUUCUUCAAAACACCUCUCCGUUCGAAAGACUAAAUGGUAUUUCUCCCGACUAUUGUAAACUCAAAGUUUUUGGUAGUGCCUGCUUCGUUCUUUUACAUCCUCAUGAACACAAUAAGCUUGAACCACGUGCCCGUCUCUGUUGUUUCCUUGGCUAUGGCACCGAACACAAAGGAUUUCGUUGUUGGGACCCUCUUUCCAACCGACUCCGGAUAUCUCGGCAUGUUACCUUCUGGGAACACACUAUGUUCUCUCGUUUGUCCUCCUUCCACACCUCUUUCUCUAGUCCUCAAUCUUUCUUUACAAAUACAUCUGUCGACAUUUUUCCUCUCUCUGAACCCACCUUGGAUACUGAGCUUACACAAUCGCCACCUGCUACUCCUCUUCGUCGCUCUACCCGGGUAAGAGAACCUCCCACUCAUCUCAUUGAUUACCAUUGUUUUUCCACCAUUGUUUCCCUUGUUGAACCCACCUCUUAUCAAGAGGUCAGUACUAACCCAGUAUGGCAGAAAGCAAUGGAUGAAGAAUUACAGGCUCUUGAAAAGACGCACACUUGGGACUAUGUUGACUUACCUCCCGGUAAAAGACCCAUUGGUUGCAAAUGGAUUUACAAAAUCAAAACUCACUCUAAUGGAACUAUUGAACGUUAUAAAGCUCGGCUUGUUGCAAAAGGAUACUCACAAGAAUAUGGGAUUGACUAUGAAGAAACAUUUGCCCUUGUUGCCCGGAUGACAUCUGUUCGCAGCUUGUUAGUUGUUGCUGCUGCCAAACAGUGGCCUCUUCUUCAGAUGGAUGUCAAAAAUGCCUUUCUUAACAGAAACCUCUAUGAAGAAGUGUAUAUGAAGCCACCUCAGGGCACUUCUCCUCCUCCCAACAAGGUGUGUCUCAUUUGUCGCGCUCUAUACGAUCUAAAACAGGCUCCACGAGCUUGGUUUGCCACGUUUAGCUCCACCAUUACUCAACUUGGAUUUACCUCCAGCUCUCACGACAAUGCCCUUUUUACACGACAGACAACUCAUGGUAUUGUUCUUCUCCUUCUUUAUGUUGAUGAUAUGAUUAUUACUGGUAAUGAUCCACAGGCCAUAUUCGACCUACAACAAUAUCUUGGUCAACAUUUUGAGAUGAAAGACCUUGGACCUCUCAAUUACUUUCUUGGUCUUGAAGUCUCUCACCGUUCAGAUGGUUAUCUGUUAUCUCAAGCGAAAUAUGCAUUUGAUCUGAUAGCACGCUCAGGAAUUACAGACUCCACCACAUCUUCAACAUCGUUAGAUCCUCAUGUCCAUCUAACUCCGUUUGAUGGCGUUUCUCUUGACGAUGCAAGCUUGUAUCGGCAACUUGUUGGCAAUCUUAUAUACCUAACAGUGACUCGCCCAGAUAUUGCAUAUGCUGUUCAUAUUGUCAGUCAAUUUAUGGCUGCUCCUCGAACAAUUCAUUUCAUUGUUGUUCUACGCAUACUUCGCUAUGUCAAAGGCACCUUGGGACAUGGUCUCCAGUUCUCCUCUCAGUCUUCCCUUGUGUUGUCGGGAUAUUCUGAGGCUGAUUGGGCGGGGGAUCCUACUGAUCGACGAUCCACCACAGGAUACUGUUUUUACUUAGGUGAUUCUCUCAUCUCAUGGCGUAGUAAGAAACAAAGUGUUAUAUCUCGUUCAAGUACGGAAUCUGAAUAUCGUGCUCUGGCUGAUGCUACAGCUGAACUUAUAUGGCUUCGGUGGCUCCUUGCUGAUAUGUGUGUCCCUCAACAGGGUCCUACCCUCCUCCAUUGUGACAAUCGUAGUGCCAUUUAGAUUGCUCACAAUGAUUUGUUUCAUGAACGUACAAAACACAUUGAAAAUGACUGUCACUUUGUUCGUCACCACCUCUUAAGCAACACCCUCCUCUUACGUUCUGUUUCUACUCUUGAACAACCUGCGGAUAUCUUCACCAAAGCCUUGCCAUCUAAUCGAUUCUGUCAAUUACUUACCAAACUCAAGUUGAUCGCCACUCUACCACCUUGAGUUUGAGGGAGGGUAUUAAUGUAAAUUCUGUAAAUUAGGCUAAUUACAUUCCAUUAAGCUAAUUAUAUUACAUUCCUUAUUUAAUUUGGGUAAUUUAGCUAUUUAUGUAACAUUUGAUACUCUUGUAAAAUACAGAAAAUUCAUCAAUAAAAUACAGAAAGAUUAUUCCUUUCACAGUAGCAAAUCAACGUACCAUUUGACAGCAAAAAUCAAGCCUCAACAUCAUCAAUAUCAGCUAGCCCGAUACAUAAUUUGCUAUUACACCCAAUUCUCACAGCCCAUAUUCUGUCUAUAUAAUUAUUUCUCACAUAUUGAUUCUAAAAAGCAGUUGGAUUAUCAUACCUUUUGUAGCACACCUUUAUGGUCACGUUAUUCUUGGAAGUAUUUAACUUCAAGAAUAAUAGGAUCACUUUUUUCCUAAAAAAAAUACAUUUCAAGUUCAUUGUUGAUUGGUAUAAGAUUUAGAUCUCUUGUACUUUGUAGUCAUUUCUCUCUCUGAAAACAAAUGGUUUAUUAAGGUUCUUCAUUUCAAUCUUUUGUUUUUGUUUUUUAACUUCUCUUUUUAAAAUUUUAAUUUAUGUUUGACAACUGGUUUUAGUUUAUUCAUGUUUCUUGUAUUUACCUCCGUUAAUUUUGAAGCAGGAUUGAAGUGGUUGCUUUGGAUCGUCUUCCUAGUGAAAAUUUUCUCUUGCAUCUACUCUCCUAACGUAUCUUAUAGUUGCAAUUAAAUUUUAAAAAAUGUAUAGCAACAUUUAUAAAAAAAAUAUAAAAUUACAAAUAUAUAUAAAGUAAUUAAAUCCAUAUAAACAAUUGGAGAGCAGGAGAGGAUAACUUAUUUUUCAAUUGCAUUUCUUUUUUGGCGAUUCAAACUCUCUAUGAGACUCUUUCUUCCCAUGAACUUUCCUUUUCCAGCCUUCACCAAAUAAUCCUACAUUAAUUAUAAAAAUAUUUUUCUACCUAAAUUUUAUAUAUAUUUUGUUGAACAGUCCUAAUUACUAUUUUUUGGGAUGAAGAAAACAGUCUAAAUUUAUUAUUCCUUCUAGAGACAAGGGUGUUAAAGGACAUAUCAACUUAUUUGAGAGAUAAUAAUACACUCCCUCUAAUCUCCUAGAGACUCGGUAUAAAGUUUUAAAAAAAUAUUUCUUGAAUUUAAAUUAAUAUAAUCUCAAUAUAUAUACCAAUUCAACUGGUUAAGCUCACUUAUACUAAGACUAAUAAAUUGGAAGUUGAAAACCUUUAACUUUAAAAAGUUUGAAAUUGAGAACACCCAAUAAUUAAAAGAAGAAAACUUCGAAUAGACCAAAAAUAAAUUUUGUUAGGUAAAAUAUUAUUACAAUCACAAAUAAAAAAUUUCUGGUAGACCUCAAUCACCAAGAUAAAACACUCUCGAAACAUUAUAUUAAUUGCAGAAACUAAGUAUACCAGACCUCAAUCACAAAAGACAAACUUAUUUUAAUAUUUUGUACUCAAACUUUAGUUUACAUGUUCAAAGUUGUUUUGAAAAUUAUUCAGCUGAUAUAUAUUGUGAACUUUAAAUUGGAUUAUUGUUUCUUUUCUGCAGGUAUGUUCCUCACUUGCGCAACAAAAAAGAAAAAAGAAAUCAAACCAUUUUCCAUAAAAAAAAGAGAACAUAUUGUAUAAAAAUUAAGUUUUGGAUUUUUAAAUGUUAAAUGUUUAAUUGAACAUCUUUACCUCUAUCAUACUCAGAGAAAGAGGAAGAAAAAAGAAAGACCUUGAGUAGAAUAUGGGGUUCCAUAAUUUAGUUGUACACAAUUUCCUACAUAAUUUAAUCCCAGUUGUUUUGACUUUGAUAUUAUAUUAUACUACUGCUAAAAUAACAUUUUAUAUAUCAAAGUGAUGUUCUUCCACUCUUCUUCCCUCUCCUCCCCCAAAGUCAAAACGAGUUCAUAACUUUGAGCAAUUCAGCCUAAAGCUUAUUAUUAUAACAAUAAAAGAGAAUAUCUUAAUAAGUAAACCUAUUAAUUACUACUAAAAUGUGAUUCAUGGGAUUUUGAAUGAGAGCUAUAUAUAACUAUAUAUGAUGGUGAUUAUAUUAGAGCCUUAAUUAUACAUAUAUGUUAAGGAAAAUGAAGAUAUAAUUAGUAAGGGGAUAUGGGUGGAAGAAAGCAUUGGGUUUCCAGUUUUGUGGGGUUUGUAUUUCUGUUGGUUUUACUGAAUCAGCUGGUAGAAGCCAGUGCAAUAAGUUCAUCAUGUAGGCAUAUUGCUAUUGGCGUUGUUACUGAUCAAAGUUCAAGGAUGGGAAGGCAACAGAAGAUUGCCAUUGAAAUGGCUUUUCAAACCUUCCAUUUCUCAACUUCCUUUCCAAAAUUGGAGCUAUUCAAUAAUGAUUCAAAUGGCAACUCGGCUCGAGCGAUAACUUCUGGUAAUUCAAACUUUUUUUUUAGAAUGAUAUGAACAAGUAUAUUAGAUCAACAGGCCGUGUAUCGAAAAAUCUCAAUAAAAUUGACAAAUUCACCACUUUUAUCCUAUUCCAACACUGAUUCCAUUAAUGCUUGUGUUUUUAACCUAAUCAUCCAUUUCACUCAUGUAAUUUAUUUUUGAAGGUUUAUGUUAUAUAUUUUUAGACACUGGAUUUUGCUAGAUUACCAUAUUAUUAUUUUCAUUUAGCUUUUUUCUUCUUCUUCUUCUUCUUUUUUUUGUUGGUUUGUGGAUAUAUGUAAUUUGUCUUUUAGUGUAUUUUUACAAGGGUGUUGACUCGAACCAAUUUGAAACAAAAAAAAAUGUUUUCUAAACUAUAUAUUUUUUAUUUUUAAAAUUUAAUUGUAAAUUAAAUAUUUGAUAAUCGUUUUCGUUUCUCAAUUUUAAAUUUGAAGAAACAUUCCUAAAGAAAAGAAAAUAUCUCUUAUCCAUUUAUGACUCCCUAAACAUAACUGAUUGUGUUAAGUCGUUUUGAUGGUUGAGAGACCCGUCCAAUUCAAUUACGUAUCACCCAACCUCAUUUUUAUGUAUUGUUUUUCUUUUUCAAAAUUAAUUCUUCUUUUUAUAUUUUAUAUAUUAUUUAAGUUUUGAAUUUUAGAUUUUUCAAUAGAUUGAUUUAUAUAUUAUUUAAUUUAAAAUUUUAAAAUUUUCAUAUAAAUAUGUAUAUAUUAUUGUCCUUGUGAAUUUUAAAAUUAUAUAUAUAUAUUCUUUCCAUAUAUAUUUUCUGUUUUGAAUUUUAGAUUUCACAAUUAUUUUCUGCUUAGAACAUUUUAGAUGUUUGCAAUGUAUAAAUGAUAUUUUGUUCAUUUAGCUUUAUUUAUAUAUAUAUAUAACCUUAUAUCUAUUAGUAAGAUGAUAGUAGCCUGACAAUUUAUUAGACACUAACACUUCUUUUUUAUAUAUGUAUUCGAAUAUUUAUUUGAAAGAUUUUUGGAAGUGGAGUAUGAUGAAAGUGUUAAUUAAAGAAUAUGCGAGCACUAGUUGUGAUAUUUUUUAAUCCACUCUCUAUCAUAUCUUUCUCUUAAAAAUAUCACUUCUUUUUUUAUGGAUAUAGGAAUUUUAAAUUCUCUAUCGCCAUGUAACAUUUUGAAAUUAGACUUUUCAUUUAACCCAUAAUGUUAUUUGAAUAUUUAUAUUUUCCAUUACAGCUUUGGAUCUGAUUGGCAACAAAGAAGUGAGCACAAUUCUUGGGGCAUUUACUUUGCAAGAAAUGCAAUUAAUGUCCGAAAUUAACAAAAACUUCAUUGAUAUUUCCAUAAUAUCCCUACCAAUUGCUGCUUCUCUUCCUCCUCAUAAUAAUAAUAAUCCACUCCCACUUCCUUCCUUUAUUCGAAUGGCUCACAACAUCACAUUUCACAUCCAAUGCACAGCCGCCAUUGUCGCCCAUUUCCAAUGGCAUAAAGUUACUCUCAUCUAUGACAAUACAGACGACAUGUCCUUCAACAUGGAAGCUUUGACUCUCCUCUCCAACCAACUUGGAGAUUUCAAUAUAGAGAUUGACCAAAUCUCAUCCUUCUCUUCUUCAUAUUCAGAAUCUAUGAUUGAGGAAAAGCUCAAAAGCCUUGUGGGCCGUGAGAGGAACCAGGUUUUCAUUUUGGUGCAAUUUUCUAUCGAAUUGGCCAAACUCCUUUUUCACAAAGCAAAUAAAAUGAAUAUGAUGGAAAAUGGAUUUGUUUGGAUCGUUGGAGAUGAGAUAUCAAGUCAUCUUGAUUCUUUGGAUUCAUCAACUUUUAAUGACAUGCAAGGUGUCAUUGGUUUUAGAACUUAUUUUGAUCAUAACAAAAAUUCUUUCAAGAAAUUUAGAAGCAAAUUCCAUAGAAAGUAUGUUUUGGAAUAUCAUGAAAAUGAAGAGGAGGAGAUGAAAAAUACGGAGCCCACCAUCUUUGCUCUUAGAGCUUACGAUGCAGGAUGGGCUGUGGCACUUGCGAUGCAUAAAUUGCAAGCAAAUUUUAGCAACAAACAAUUGUUGAAGGAAAUUUUAAGGAGUAAAUUUGAAGGGCUUAGUGGGAAAAUAGGAUUCAAGAAUGGUGUCUUAAUGGAACCACCCACUUUUGAAAUUAUUUAUGUGGUGGGUAAGAGUUACAAAGAGAUAGGAUUUUGGAGAGAAAAGGUUGGAUUUUUCAUCAAUUUGAAUGAAAAUAAUGAUCAAGAAAUCAGUAGUAGCAUUAUUAUUGAUGAAGGAAGAAGUAGAAGUGAUAAUAAUAAUAAUAAUAAUAAUAAUAAUAAUAAUAAUAAUGUUGUUUUGAAAUUACCAAGAUUUGUUUUGUGGGAAGUAAAUUAUGCAGAAACAGGAGUAGUGAAAGGAAGGACGAUUAAUAUUGAUAAUUCAAAUUCCGGAGGAAUGGGAAGGACAUUAAGAAUUGGUAUUCCGGCCAACAAUACAUUCCGAGAAUUUGUUAAAGUUUCUUACGACCACAUAAAUGCAAUAUACAUUUCUGGAUUUUCCAUUAGUGUAUUUGAAGCUGUCGUAAAGAAUCUGCCUUAUUCAUUGCCGUAUCAGUUGAUCCCAAUCAAUGGUUCUUAUGAUGGAUUGGUAAAGCAAGUCUACACAAGGGUAAGUACGAUAUAGAUAAUAUAUAUAUAUAUAUAUUGGAUUAUUGCAUGUGAUUCUUGCAUCUAUUCAUUGUAUCCUUCUUUGUAUAUAUAACAAAAAAGGUGAUGUAUUUAUAUGAACAAAUUAUAUAUAUGGUGGUUUUUAUUAGGGUCUGGAUGCCGCGGUGGGAGAUAUCGGAAUAUUUGCGGACCGAUUUAAAUAUGUUGAUUUCACAGAGCCAUAUAUGAUGGGUGGGCUUGUGAUGAUAGUGAAAGAGAAGACAAGAAAUUGGAAAGAAAUAUGGAUAUUCAUGAAAACAUUUACAACACUAAUGUGGAUCAUUUUGCCAAUCUUCCAUCUUGUUAUAAUGUCUGUUGUUUGGAUUGUUAAGGAUCCAAAGGAUGGAGAAUUAUCAGGAGUUUCAGAAAUGAUAUGGUUUGCCGUAACUGUCAUCUUUUUUGCUCACAGUAAGAAUUUUAAAGUCAUGUUUGAUAAUCAUUUUAGUGUCUUUUCACUUCUCAUUUUAGAAAACAAAUUUUUAUGAGUGGAUGCAGGAAAAGAAGUGAAAGGUAAUUUAGCAAGGUUGGUGUUGGGGACAUGGUUGUUUGUAAUUCUUGUGGUAACUUCAAGUUUUACUGCAAGUCUUACAUCUAUGAUGACGGUUUCAAGAUUUGCACCAUCCGUUGUUGAUGUUGAAACAUUAAGGCAAAUGAAUGCAACAGUGGGGUGCAACUAUCAUUCUUUCAUUCCGAGAUAUUUGAAUGAUACAUUGAAAAUUCCACGUAUAAAUAUUAAGAACUUUGUUGGGAUUGACGAUUAUCCAAAGGCAUUUGACAAUGGAGAAAUUGAAGCAGCUUUCUUCAUCACUCCACAUGCUAAGGUCUUUCUUGCUAGGUACUGCAAAGGCUACAUCACUGCAGCUACUUUCAAUCUCGGUGGCAUUGGUUUUGUAAGUUCUCAACUAAUAAUCUACUUCCAGAUGUUUUGCAGUUUUUAGAUUUAAGUUUUGUUUCGAUUUGUUUUACAAGAUUUCAAGAUUUAUACUUUUAAUAAGUUUGAUUUUCUCACUGAAAUACUCCUGGUAUGAAUUAAACCCAAAACUUUAAAAAUCAGAAGGAUUUAAAAAAAAAUAGUUAAAGGUGCUAUCUGAGCUGCAUAUAUUUUUUGUGCGAGCAGCUUAACCAGUUAUAAUAUGUCAUGUAGCCAAAAAAAUCUUUUAAAAAAAUUUAAUUGACUUUUUUUUUCGUUUGUUGGGAUAAAAUAUGAGCUACAAGCUGCACUUAACCAUUGUUUUCUUUUCUUUUAUGAUGUGGAUAGAAAGACACGGUAGUCUAGCACUACACUUGGUAUUUGGUAAUAAUAGGAAAUUUUGUUAUAUGUUGCAGGCUUUUCGGAAAGGGUCAAGUCUAGCAGUGGAUGUAUCGACAUCCAUCGUGGAACUUAUAGAGAGAAGAGAGAUGCCACAGUUAGAAACAAUGUUGUUGUCAACCUUCAAUUGUUCUUCAGGGAGCCAAGUUGAUGGGUCUACAAGUUUGGGGCCUUGGCCUUUCGCAGGUUUAUUCAUCAUUUCAGCAAGUGUUGCUGCUGGAUCACUUCUAUAUUUUUGUAUAUGCGGACCAAAUCACGAUAACAAAGACAAUAAUGCAGCAGCUGGAGAAGUCCACAAUGGCAAUAACAAUGCAGCUGGACAGGAACCCAUGGCCAAUGGCAAUAACAAUGCAGCUGGACAAUUCCAACCCAGGGCCAAUCGCAAUGAUUAAGAAUUAUCAUUUUUGUAUUUUAUUUUGUUUUGAAUAAUUCUUUUUCUCUUAUUUCGUAUCGGUAUAUCGUUGUAAUUUUUAAACUUCAAUCAUAUAAGUUUAUAUACUAUGUAGUCUCUAACUUUGGAUAUAAAACCUCUAUACUCUGCCAUCUCGAAAUCUUCAUUGAUUUACUAAACAAACAUCGAUCUCUCCACAAUGAGAAUACAUUUUUUUGUUUUACUUGACCAACAUAUAUUUACAUGCAGGAUAGAAUAUUGGUAUAAAACUAGUUCAUAAAUCUUUUCCAGAUUUGACAUUCUUUCGAGAUUGUUAUUUAAUAUUUGGAAAGACGACUUUUCAUGUAACAUCCUUUUUACUUAUUUUUCAUGGUAGGUGUACAACAAAAACCUUAAAAAUUGAAAAGCUAAACACACCAAACCAAAUAGAUUUAUUGGAAAAACAAUUAAGAUAUAUUAGUGCACCUCCUGAUCUUGUUCUCCUGCUUGUUACUUAACCUAUCAGUGCACCAAGACUAAUCUCUCAUAUAUUCAAAAAAAAAAAAAAAAGAACAGAACAAUGAGGUUGGGAAAAAGGCUCAAAAUCAAGAACCAAACCAACAAUAAACCCAACUUAAUAACAAUUUGAUCCAUUUUUUUCACUUGCUGGACAUCGGUUUUGGUUCCUUUUCUACAUAAAACCAAUUUGUUUUGUUUUGUUUUUUGGUUGGACUCAAAAUCCAGAAAAUCGAACCUACCUGAUAUUGCUUACUGAGUAUAGUUAGUUGUAGACUCAUUUAAUACUCCAAAGAUUUUGGGUUCUCCCAACUAUCUUUCUAAUAUAAUGUAUAUAUAUCCAUCAAGAUGGAAGUGUGUCUCUUUCAAUUCAUCUCAUUCUUGAAUUAGAGUUUUUUAUUGAACAAGUGAAUAUUAUGUUUAGAUUUCUUAAACUUUGAUAUCAAAUUUAUCUAAGUACGAAUUAGUUCGAUCAAAGACAAACAUCUUUAUUAAUUCGUCAUGUAAAUAUUUAUGAAUAUGGAAAGAUUUAUAUUAGAAGACGAUAACAUGACAAAUACACACAACAAUAAACCAAAGAGAGGAGCAAUAUAUAUAUAUAUAUAGUAAGAGUUGAUCAUGCGUCCUCCAAGAACAAACUCUUUAUUCUAGUUUUUCUUAAUGAGUACGUACUAGAUAUAUAAUAUGAUGAUAACAUAGAAAAGUACAUAAAUUUUACAACUUCUUCAUUUCUUGGUCUUGUUGAUUACUCUGUCAGCAUACUCAAGAACUUUAUCAAGUUCAUCCAAACAAAUAAAGCCAUCUCCAUUAGCAUCAGCCAAAUUCAAAGCAUAGUUAGCUUUGCUAAAUGAAUUGAAGGAACCACACAUGUUAAAAGCUUUUACUAGCUCACUUCUAGUGAGAUAACCAUCACCAUCAAUAUCAUGCUCUAAGAAAAUCUCCCUCAUUUCAUCUUUACUAAGCCUCAUCUUGUACGGCCCACAGGACGCCUUCUCAUCAGGAAUAUUAACCUUAGGUUCAACUUUUUGAGGCUUAAUUUGUUGGUGAUGGUGAGAAGCAGCUUGCUCAAUGAUCAAAGCAGUUAGCUCAUCUUUGGUCAGGAUUGAAUCACCAUUCUUGUCAUACUUUUUUAUCAAAUUACUUGCUUCUUGUUCACUCAUGUAAUUACCUUGGGCUGGGACAGGCUGAUCCUUAAGAGGAUUUGUAGACAUUGUUGAAAACUAUGUGGGUUGUGUUUUGGGAUUUGAUGUGGAGUUUGGAGGUGAUAGAAUUAAAUUAAUGUCUUGAAAGGAUUAACACACUUUAUAUAUACUAACUUUAGAAGCAUAAGUAUUUUUUUUUUCAUGUACAAAUUGGAAUCUUAUUCCUAAUUUCCUCUACUCCAAAAACAAAAGAUUAAAAAAAAAAGAACUUAUUCCUUACCUAAUAAAUCUCUUUAUUCAUUAAGAUAUAUAUAAAGUUCCUUUUUUUAAAAAAAAAAUUAUGGUUAGCAAAGGAAAAUUAUGGUUUAUAUAUAUAUUUUGCAUGUGGAAUGAAAUAAGAUUCUAAAAAGGAAGAUAUUCACAGCUAAUUAGCAAAAUAAACAAAAUAAGAAUAAAAUAUAGAAUCUCUUUGUCACGGUCAAAUAAGAUUUUUUUAGUACAACAGUAGUUAUUAAAUGGUAAUUAAACCUUCAAUAUCUUUGACUUUAACAAAGAUACUACAACAAGUUUUUAGGGCAAUUUUUAGAAAAAGAUACGUUGGAUUAGUAGUGCACCUGGAACAUCUACACUAGGUGGAUACCCCUUAGCACCCUCAUCAUUCCCGCUUCAUUAAAUAAUCGUCAGAUCAGAACAAGAGGCAGAAAAGUAACAAGGGCUAGAGAAAAACCCAGUAGUUAUUAUACAAAAGCAUUCAAGUUUAAAGCAAUAGUGCUAGUGCUAUAAUUUUUAUAGAAAUAAGAUCUACUAGUCUAUAAAUGUGUGAGAUCUUUGACAUUUUUCCAAAUCUCCCGAGUAGUUCUAUCUUUGUUCUGGAAGAUCCUGUUGUUUCUCUCUCCAACUAGAUGAUACAUAACGCAGCAGCAAUCAAAUUGAAAAUGAUGAUGCCUUUUUUGCUUUUUUUCAUUUGUGUUGCAUAUGUUUUGAAAGCAAUAGUCCCGAGUAGUUUCGAUGGCAAUUUAGAACUGCUAUCAAAGUUCGUUUUGUCAUCUUACUCUAUAUUGACAUGCAAUUUCAAUUUACAGUACGUGUCAUCACAAAUAUAUGAUGUUAGUACAAAACUGAUAUAUAAAUCUAAAAUUGUUGUACUAAGACAAUGCCAUUUUUUUCAAUACCAUAAUUAUGGAAACAUGAAUCGAACCUUCCGUCUCUAAAAUAGAAAGUAGUUUUGAUUACCAUUGAAUUAAUUAAGUUCAUGUUGACUCAUGUUAAUUACUCUUAAAACAAAUUUUAAAAAUAAUUGAAAGAAGGUUAAGGAAAUAGGAAAUAAAAAACGCCAACCUUAUUUUGGUUUCUUGUUUCUCAUAACUUCUGUUUCUAUUUUUGUUUCUAUUGUUACCAUUUUGCAUUUGGCAAUUUUAUUUUCAUGUUUUUUUCUUUUUCAUAAAAAAAAAAAUUAAUGAAACAAUUGUUUUAUAUCAAAUUUGUUUCUUAGUUCUCUAAAAAAUUUGUUUAGAAAAAGUAAGAGUUAACUUUUAAAAUUAAAUAACUUUAUUAUUGUUAUAUUUGUUUAUUUGUAAUACUUGUAUUUAUUUCAUAAAAGAGCAUCCUAUUUCCUGAAGAGAGUUAACUUUACUACCAACCUAACUUUUGAUAUUUCAGAAUUUCUCCAAUUUAUUAAUCAUCAUUAUCUUUUGAGUGAAAUGAUAUGAUGUACCUCUUGGAAGAUCAAGAUGGAGAGUAAAAUUAUAAGACUAAAAAAUAUUAUUUUCUAAAAACAAUAAAUUACCAUAUGGUGAUUAGUUUUAAUUGAUACGUAUAGUAGAUGGAUAAAGCGUUGCACAUAAAUGUUUUCAAAUUAUAAUAUUACAUACUUAGGGUAAUAAAUCUCAAAACAACCAUAUAUUUAAUUUAAUUUUUCUUUUCAUUUUUGACAAUUUCCUAUUUAUUUUAAAAUAACAAAAAAUAAUAUUCGUAAAACAAAGGCUGCACUUGUACUUGGCUGAUGUAGAAUAAUUGUCUUCUAAAUCUGAAAGCAAUGAUGAAAGCAAAUAAUUCUCUCUAAAGAUUCUUGAGUUCGUUUUAAAAAUUAAAUGUAUCUAGAAAUUCCAACUUUAACUAAUAAUCCUACUCUUUAUUACUAUUAUUAUUUACAACUUUAAGGCUAAUGUUAAGGACAGAUCUUUUAACCCCCCUGAUGCCAAGCUAAUUUUUAGAAACUAAUAGGAGAAAAAAAAAAUGAUAUGCAAACAUUGGAACAUGCAGGACAUGAACUUUUACUUGAUAUAUCUGUUAAAUAAUUAAAGAAUCAACCCAAAUGUUUAAGUUAAUGAACUAUGGUACAUUUUAAUUAUCUCAUUUAUAACAAAAAAAAAAUUACUUGUAUAUGUGUCUAUAUCACUAGACUAAUAGAUGAUAUAAAGUGGGGAAAUUAUGUAAAAAUAUUUGAAUAAGAAAUAUUUCUAUAUUUCCAAAUGCAUAACGUUAUUUCCCUCUAUUUUAGCAAUUAAUUGGAGUUGUUUUGUAAUAAAUACAAGCUAUGUAAUAUGAAGGUAAGAUCUUGCUAACUAUCGAGUUUGGAAGAUUAAUUUUAGUGUAACAUGACAACAAAGAUCAAAAAGGUAAUUCAAAUAAAAAGAUAAAGAGGAAUAUAUAAAAUAUGAUAUAGACUUGGUUAGAAUAAGAUUCUCUCUGUCUUACUCAUUUUAGUAAAAUGGAUGUAGAAUACGGUUCUUUUAUUAUAUUGUUAUUAUAUUGUUGAAAAUUAGAAUUAGAUUCUUUUUAUCUUAUAAUAAUAAUAAUGAAAUAUUACAAACUUUGUUAUUUUUAACUCCGAAGCAACUUUUCUUUUUACCUCACAAAAUAAUACCCAUAUCUUUUAGGUUCCAUACAAAUAUUAUCUACACAAUACAUCAUCUGAAUUUAUUUAUUUAUGAUGUAAUGUAUGUGCGUUACUUUUUGGUCUAGAAAAAUGAUGAAGAUGUUAAAGUUACAUAAAUAGCAAAUUAAAAUGUUGAAAUUAUAUUUAGCAAAAUUCAUCUAACUUUCUCUAAUUCAUUUAAAAUUUUUGUUAUGAUUUAUAAAUAGUUUCAUUUCUUGAUGCUAUUCCUAACAAUUUUUCCUUUAUAUAAUAUAUAAAAUUAUGCAUUAUAUUGUAAUUUUGGGGUAAGGUAUUUUGUUUAUUUUAACAAAAACAUUGCUGUUGCAGGGGUCGUACUUGGGCAAGGGUUUUGAAAACGAUGAUAGGUUGAAUUUUGAGAUUUAUGCCUAAUUUUUAUAAUUUUCUGUAAAAAGCAAUGUUAAAUAUAUAUAUAUAUAUAUAUAUUAUCAUAACUCUCCCAUAAAAUAUUUAGCUUAAAAUUUAUUUAGAGGACAUACAAUUAAAAUAAUUUUAUAGGUUAAUUACUCAUUUAAAACCAUAAAUUAAAUAAACCAUCCAUGGGCGGAUAUAUGUGUACAAUAACUUUCAAAUACAAGAUUAAUUGUUUUGAUCAUGUUCAUUGAUUGGAUUUCUAUUUUGUGUGAUUUGUGAAUUUAUGCUAUUGUCAAUUCAAAGUAUUUGUAGUGUGUGAGUGGAUAGCUUUUAUCCACAUUACACAGAUUCUAGAUUUUUCGACUGAAUUUAUGCUACUCUAUAUAUAUAUAGUCACAAAAACAGAAAGAAGAAAGAAACGUCACUUUUUUAAAAAAAGAGAUUUGUCACGUACGUGACUGUUGGACACUUGGGUAAUUGCAUAAACAUAUCUCUACAAAGCUAAUAUUGCAACGCAGAGCAAUCAACAUCCUCUUUUGAAAGCUUUCUCAAAAUAAAAGAGUUUUAGAAUUACAUAAAUUAUUAUAUUGAAGACGUGAUUCGUUACCUAAUUUAAAAGACAAGUACUGAUCUACAUUUCAUGCUUUAUAUGUAAUCUGAGAAUGUUGAUAUUUUAGAAAUUUUUUGUUAAUUUUUAGAACAGACUCUCUUGUCAGUAUGAUCUAUUUUUUUAUAAAUUUAACAAGGAAUUAAGAAACCCUCUUUGAUUAACAAAACCACAACACUAAAGGAGAAGAAAUUAGAAAGAUCUUACAAUAAGUGGCAAACAAAAUCUUAUUGUAGAUAGCUCUUUCCAUCAUCUUGUUGAUUGAAGACCCUUGGUGUCAAGAAUAAAAAAUUUCAGCUCUAACAAACCAGAAUGGAUGCUCAAACGGCAUCGCUAGACAGAAGUGGGUUUUCUUUCCAAUUUCUCACUUUGGUGACGUUUGAAUUCUCUUGAUCCGCUGCUGCUGCUGCUGCAAGAUUAUUUACAAAAAUAACCUAAUUGAAACUAUCCAUACAAAACUAAUUGAAACUAAGCCAAUAUAUAUAUCUCGUGAACGAAAUUAAAACUCGAAAUAAAAAGAGAAAAGAAGAGAGAAAUGUACAAAGUUUAAUUGAUUGGAUUUUGGAUACCUUACCCAACACAGAAUAGUGCUUAAACAAAAGGGAAAGAGAGAAGUAAUGAUCAUGUGGAAAAGUUUUUCUUUUUCUUUUUUUGGAGUACUACUCAUUUUAAUAUAUAUGUAAAUUAAAGAGAACAAAAUGACGAGAUUUUCUUUACUUCUAAUAGAAAAAAUAUUGUAUAUUGUGUAGCCUUUGCUGCAUCGGAUUAAAAACUAUCACGUAGCACUUUAUAUUAUUUUUAAAAAAUUAUUAAAAUACUGAUUUUUUUUCUAUGUAGAAAAAAUAUUGAUGGAUAGACUUAAAGUUCAAUCCCUAUAUAAAAUGAUGUUUUAGUGGCGAUAUAUGCUUAAGUAUUGAAAUAUCAUCAUUAUCAAUACAUCUAAACUAAGUACUUUGAAAAAAUCCAUUAUCAUUAAAAUGAUAAAUAAUGAAAAUUGGUAACAACUUAUGCAGAUAAAAAUUGACACAAUACAUGCAUAACAUAUAAUUUACCAAGUAUUCAUGCAUACAAUUAAUGAAAGGAGAAUAUAUAUAUAUAUAUAUAUAUAUAUUAUGUUAACGAUGUUUUUUUAACAAAAUACUGGAGGAAGAAGGAUUUGUGGGUGCACUGUAUCUCUAAUUUGAGUGCUUAUAGAAAAAGUGAUUUGAGUUGAAAACUCUUUUUCCCUUACAAAGAAAUCAACAAUAUAAUAUCAUGUUAAAAGUUUCUACUAGUGUUCUAAUCAACAUGAAACAUAUUAAUUAGUUUAUACCAAUAGUUCAAACUGACCCAUAAUAUGUGCUAACAAUCAAGAAGACUAUAAUUUGAUUCUCCUACCUCUGUUUUACUAAGAAGAAAGUUAAAAGUUUAAUUCAAAAAAUAAAGGAAUGGCAAUAUCUUGGCUUAACUUUUUUUUUUUUUUUUUUUUGAGAAAGAUACUUUGGGAUACCAGUAGAACAUCUCUACUAGGUGGACAUUCCUAAACACUCACGUCAAACUCGCUUCAUUAAAAAUAAAGAGAUGAAUACAAGAAGCAGGAGAUACAAAAAGGGCUAGACGGAAGCCCUAUGAACCCAAACAACUAAAAAACGUUUAAGUUUAAAGCAAUAGAACUGGUCGAGUAAUUUUUGAAAAGAGGAGAACGACUUGUCUAGAGACCAGUUGUAGCUCGAAUGUCCUUCCACACAGAGCCAACUAGUUUUUCUUCCCCCUUGAAAAUCUUUUUGUUUCUUUCAUUCCAUAUAUUUUAAAGGGUGGCAGCCACUAAGUGCAGUUUGAUAGUUUGUUUUUUUUUGUUUUACCCUUUGUUUUGUAGAUUUCUUUGCACAGAUAAGUGGAAUUUGAUGGAGAUAGGAGUCGCCCAAGAUAACUUCAACUUUUUUCCAGAGCUUUGAAGAGAAGGGACAAAGGGAGAACAAAUGGUUUCUGUCUUCCUCGGCAGCUUUGCCAAGAAUUCACCAAGAGGGUUUUAUAUUUCAAGUUGGAGUCUUCUUUUAAGCAUACCCAUGAUAUUAAUACACUCAUAAAGGAGAGUCCAUAAACAAGAAUUUACACCUUUUGGGAUGGAUGAUUUUCAUACAAUUGCUAUAAAUUACCCAAUCAUUAUAGUUAACUUCUGCUUGGUUGUUGAGAGGUCUCUCAAGAUGGCCUAUCUCACUGUAUGAAAAGUUUUGCCCAAAUUGUAAUUUAGCUCGAUUUGAUCAAUAUCUAAUUGUUAAUGUUUAUUAGUAAUUAAUUAAGUAAUAACUUUUAGCUUGCUUUUAAUGUAACGAUUGUUUAAAUAAGAUUAGCCUAAAACCCACAUAUUAACUAAUAAUAGAUAUUAGAAGCCUUUUCCAUUUCGCAACAAGAUUACAUAAACACAAGAAGGACCAACUUGCUCAAGCCCAGCCCUUCCUUCCUUUAUUAGUGAAAGUCAAAAGCUUAGGAAACAAAAACAUAAAAUCAUAGGGUGUUGCCAAUUUUAAUUUCUAUCAACGCCUUCUUUUCUGAAACCUUUCGGCAUAAUCGAUGAGUUUGUCAAGCUCGUCUUCUGAGAUGAGGCCGUCACCAUUCUCAUCACAAUAAGCCAUGCCGUAGUGAGCUUUGUAGAAUGGUAUAGAGUGACCCAAGAACCCCAUGGCUUUGAUGAGCUCACUGAUGCUGAGGUAACCGUCUCCGUCGAUGUCGUGCUCACGGAAGAUUUCCUUCAUCUCUUCCCUUGAGAAAUUGAACUUGCUUACACCAGGAAGAGCCAUUUCUUUUGUGGGAAAAAGGAUAUAGCUUCGUGUUUGUUUAUUGCGUUUGGGGUUGUGAGUUUUGAGUGUGUGUGUUUUGGGGUAUUUAUGGAUGUACAAACAAAGGCUUUAUUCUUAUUAUAUCUUAUGAUAUGAUGGUCCCAUUAUAUUCUUACCUUAUGACAACAGUCACAUAUUCCACCUCAAAAACUUGCAUCUGGUCACCUUUCACUCAUUAUUUAAUUUUAUGGUUAACUAAUAAUCUUUUAUCUAGAUAUUAACAAGAGGGGAAUCAAGAAAUGCAUCCAAACAUCUCUAUUGGGUUAAUCAAGAAAUGCGUCUAAACAUCUCUAUUCGGUUAAUGUACCUAUUUUAGUUUUCAGGCUUAAAAUAACUUGUUACCUAAAAUGUCAAUAAAUGUACAAAAUAAUUUGUAUUUGUAUUGUUAGUAUUACUUGAUUGUAACACUUAACUUAUUGUUAUUUUUCUGAAAAACAAAAGUAGGUCAAAAUUUUGUUGACACGUUGAAUUCUGUGUAUGCUUUUUCAUGAAAACUCUAUUGAAAGCUUCUUUUUAAAAAAGAAAAAAGAAAAUCUAAGAUUUAUCCAUUUAGACAUUUAAAAGUAUAUAAUCUUAUAAUAAAUUAAAAGAAAAACUAAAAUAAUAUUUUAACAAAAUUUAUAUAUUUUUAAAAAAAACACGUACAAGUGAUACAUCGUCCAAAUAUCUUCACUAAGUAGACAUCUUCUUAGCAUCUUCAUUUGAUAUGUAUAAAAAAAAGUAAAACGACGACAAAAUAUGAGUUAGAGAUAAGUGCAUUAAAUAAAGAAAAUCAAUAACUAGUGAUGUUAAAAUUAAGUUUAUUUAGUUAAAAUAAUGUAACAUUUUUAUUUAUAGGCAUUUGAAGAACUUUCCUAUAUUUCUUUUACUCCCUGCUCUUGAAAAGAAAGAAUUCAAACUUUAAAUAAAAACCAUAUCAUUUUCCAUCAUUAACUUCCUAUUUUUUAAUUAUUAUUUUUAAAUAGAGCAAAAUAAAAAUUAUAAUAAAAUGUAUCUAUACGUGUCCUUAUCACCAACAAAUGGUAAAAUUUUAUUGUAUUUGUAAUUAUUUUCAACAAUUAUAUUAUUUAAAAUCAUUAUUCUUUUUGAAUUGAAAACUAAAGUAUUGAUUAAAUUUAUUGUAAUAUAUCAGCAACUUUUGAGGUCAUUGUUUCAUCUUUGAUCUCUCUCUAUGGAAGACCUAAAUUUGGUUCAAUUCAAAAUGAUUCUAUCAUUGAUCAUCUGUUCUUCUUUUUCUUCUAAAAAAGGCAUACAACAGUGUGUGAUGACGAAGGACCAAAAUUUAUGCAUACAAUACAGUGUAUAUAUACAUAUAUAGUAUGGGGUUAUUCUAGAAGAAAAAGAGAAUAUAAGUCUUUUUGUUGUGGCAGAAAUUUGGAAUCUGCAUGGGAUGAAAAAGGGCAUCUGCUUCUAUUUAUAUUAUAUAAUAUUCUUUGAAAUGACAAUAAUGGAGGGAAGCAUAAAUUUACAAUACCUCUCAUAAACAUCAAAUAAUUUAUAAUGGGACUCCCAUCUAAUACUUAGGGAAAGGGAAAAUAUUUCUUUACAAAUUAAAAAGCAUUCAUGCAGUUUUGAAAAAUGCAGAUCAAACGGAGGAAGUGCACUUUCUCAAUCUUUCUCUAUUUGCUAUAUUUGAAAAUAUGUUUUUAAAAAAAUUCAUUUAAAACAAUUACUCUAGAAAAAGGUUAUUGUUAGACUGAUGCUUUUGUAUCGAUAGAUUAUCUGUUAGAGUAUUUAAUAAAUAAUAUUGAUAUAAUUACAUUUUGGUAUUAGGUUAAUUAGUGUUAGUUUAAUUUAGGUAAUAUAGCCUAUCCGAGAUCUUAGUUUAUCUAAGCUUAUAUCAUUGUUGUAAUUGUUAUUUUAGAAACCCUAAUGAAGUUUUUCUAUCUCUCGCUCACUAUACUGUCUUUGUCCCUCUAAAAUUCUAGAGUUUUCAUGGCAUCAGAGUCCAAAAUUUUCUAAAACUCAAAACUCUCCCUUUUUUUCUUUGAAGUCGUCAUAGGCUGCAUGUAACAAGAAACUUAAAACUUAAAACCCUCCCUCUACCCAAACUCUCAAAUCACAUCACAGUAGUCUAUCUUCGGAUCUUUCUUCCACCCUUUUUGAAGAAUUGUUAUUUUUAACCUAACAAAGCUUUUACCUUAUCAGGCUAACUUCAUUUUUUAAAACUAAUUUUUUUCAGAAAAAGGAGUUUUUUCAAAAAUAGAAAAAUUUGUAUAUACACUCUAUAAAACAAAACUGCUAAAAGACACACACAAAAAAAAAAAAAUGUAUACUCAAAGUUCUAUAUUUUAUAAUUUCACUUUGAAAAUAUCAAUUUGUCCCUGUUAUAUUGUAAGUAAUUUCUAUUUCACAUUUUUCUAUUACCACUUUCCAAACCCAAUUUCAAAUUUGAAACUUACUAAUUUUUCUUUUGUUGGGCUUUCUUGUAAGGAUAGAAAAAUUAAUGGUAAAAAAAAGUUCUUACGUGGAAUUUCCCUUAAGAUUUGAAAAUUUUGGGAAAAUUUCAUAAAUUCCAACGCUAAACUAUGAACAGUAAAUUUAAAAAAUUGAAAACUUAAAAGAAAACUAUCCUCUUUAAAAAUAAAAAAUAAAAGCCUUAAAUUUAAGUUUAAAACAAUCACUAACUUAAUCUUACUGAGAAAAAUUGAAAUAAAAUUAAAAUAAAGCUUAUGAAAUUGGAAAUUGUUAUUUUAAAAAAAAUGGUAGAAUUAUUAUUUUUUAAGAAAACAUAAAUUUGCAAAUCAAGUGGACAGAUUUGGAAAAGAUACACUGUAGAAUCUACAGCUCGCUAUGUAACGUUAUUGUUCUUGAUCAUAAACAACACAACAAUUCUCGAUCGUCUUCGCUCAAGUUUUGCUUAUAAUAAAAUUAGUCAACCACGCUGUAGUAGCAAAUUUGUUGAUAUCAUAUAUCACUUUACAGUUGAUUUUGUUGUGAUUGGAUAAAAUUUCAUUGCAAGUACAUGUAAAAAUGGCGUAGCAGCAUAGGUUCAGUAAUACUACUCCUUUUUUAUUAUAUAUAAAAUUGAAUGACCCCAUUUUAUAUCUACGUUUGCAUAUUCUUACAUAAGAUCGAAUCCCUAAUGAUCUUCAAAUUUCAAUCCAGAAACCAUCCUUUGUAUUAUGUGAUAAUCAAGAAGCAGCUGUUCAUAUAGCCUCCAACUCAAUCUUCCAUCAAAACUUUGUAAAUUUUAAUAUAUGGGAGAUUAUUUAUAGAUUUCAGGAAAUAUGUAUAAUAUAAAUAAGUUUACGAGUGGAAUUUGUUAACAGAAAAGGGAAAAACAGUAUUGAGGAAAUUUUAAAAACAUUUUUUUCAUUUUUCUUGCAAAGUUUGAGGAGAAACUUCUAUACAUUGUUUCUUUUGUAUUAUUGAUGUUUGGUGCAUGUGAAACAUAUUUUUACCAAUAUAAAGUAUGUGAGGUUCUAAUUUUGUAAAUAUAUACUAAGAAUGUUAACAAUUUUACAAUAAGAGAGUUAUGUUCCAUUAACAUGUGAAAAAGAAAUGAGGUUAAAAAGUCAAACCAAAGUUCCUUUUUGAGCUACUAUAAAAUACUUGAACCAUGUUACGUUUUGUUUCAUCUUCAAACAAUCCAAUCAAACAAACAUAUAUAUAAUUUUAGUUUAAGAAUGUCUGUCUCUCAUCUUCAAGCUUGGGCUAAGAAUGAAGCAAAUGAGUUGAUAAAGAAGUAUGAUAGAAAUGGUGAUGGUGUUCUCACUAAAGAAGAGCUACAAUCUUUCCUUCGUGAUGCUCGUGGUUCAACUCAACUCAAUAAUAUAAGGAAUGUAUCGUCUAGCACAGUCCCAAAAACUAACGAAAAUCUUGCACAGAAGGUUAGCUCAAAUACUUGCAUAACACCAAAAAAGCAGUUGUUGGAUAAAGCUCAAGGUUCGUCGAAACAAUCUAAUGUACCUUUGAGUCGAGAGCAGAUAAAAGAGAUUUUUAAAUAUCAUGACAGCAACAAAGAUGGUUUUCUCAGCAUACGGGAGUUAACAAAAGCUUUCAGCUCUAUGGGAUCAAUUGUCCCAUUUUGCAAAGCUCGAUAUGCUAUGGCUUAUGCUGAUGUCGAUGAAGACGGUCUUGUCAGUGAGGCCGAGCUUGACAAACUCAUUGAUUAUGCCCAUAAAAUCAUCAAGAAGAAAUGAGCUUUCAAGGAUAAUUCUGUGUGUUCUACAUAGAGAAUUAUGUAACUAGAAGUAAAAUAUUAAAAAUAUUAAAAAUAAUUAAAAUAAUUAUUUAAAAUUAAAAUAUCAUAUGUUGGAAUUUUAUUUUUGUUGCAAAAAGCAUUGUAAUUAAAGCUUCUCAUUAUUAAUAAAAUAAAAGAGAUGUAUGUUGGAAUUAAAAAUCUUAAUCUGUUAUCGUUAAGUGUUAAUAUUAAUCUCUCUCUCUUUGUUAAUGAUUAACAAACACAUUAUGAUAAAUAUGGCCUUAAUCUAUGAACAUAAGCUCAAAAUAUUGAACCAAAAUUUAAAAUUUGAUAACUCUUCCCAAUUGAAUUCAUAGUUUAUUUUUUAUUAUAUGUAGAAUGCACUCACAAUAUGAUAUAUUACAUAUUUUUGGAUUUAGGCUGCCCUGUUUUUAAGUUUUAAUUUUUUAGAGUUAGAGGCUGGUUGAGUGGAUGUAAUUUACCUUGUUGUAAUUACUUCUUUUUUUUUCAAUGAAGAUUUGAUUCUCUUUCAACUUGUCUACAACACUAAAUAGGAAAUAGGAUAUAGAAAGGAUUUCAAACUUAUACAUGCAUGAAGCAGAACCUUUUAACAUUUAAAACAUGAUACUUUCCAAAUACUACGUGUAUAUUUCAUAUAAAAUCAUAACUACGUAUAACCAUUAUUCCAAUAUAAAACUGUAAAAAAUUGACCCUUUAAUCUCAAGAAAAGAAAUAGUCAAUUAAUGUUAAAUAGUAUUUAUUUUGACACAAUAUCUCUUUUCUACUUUAAUUGAAAUGACAAAUAUAUUCUAACAAACGUAAAUAAUGACUUCUAAUUUGUUCAAGUAUAUACAGACGUGUGUAUACAUGUGUAAAUAUGUGUGGGUGGGUGUAUAGAAAGAAAGAAGAAAAUCUCCAUCAAAUGUAUACAUUUAAAUAAUAAUAAUAAAAGAAAUAAACUUAAUUAUUGAGGAAUUCAGCCAUGUUCGUGGUGUAAGGAAAUUCCUUCAGAAAGGUAUUAAGGCAAAUGUACCAGCAUUUAAUUUGUACAUAACAAGGGAACAGAAGAUGGGAAUUUAUUCACAUUUCAAGGAAUUUUCCUCACUUUCUUCCUCAAGGGAAAUAAAUACAUAUCUUAUAGAACUUAGUUAUUGACCUAUGAAUUUAAACUACAUAUAUACUUACAGAACCUAAACUCUUGGUGGAUGAAAACACCAGACUGUACAAUAAUAUACUAUGUCCAGUAUGUAACAAAAAUUUCAACUUAGCAGAUAGCAGCAUGAAAUAUGAACUGAUUCUGCCGAUGAAUUUUGAUGGGAAUUAAUGUGGGCAAUCAGCAAUUGAUCCAGGAGUUUAAUAAUCUCUAUCAAUGAAUUUAGCAAGAAAAUCCACCUGGAUCGGAGCAAGUUACACCAACAAGAUUGUUGGAGAAUAUCAGAGAAAUGCUAAAAUUUCAGCAGAUGACAUAACAUAGGAAUUUGUAAAUCAGAAUCUACUAACCGAGCACAUUUAAUCCCCAGAUUCAAGGAUCACCAAUAAUGUAACGAGAAUCUUUUAGGCAGACAACUUUAAAAAUCUACCAAGGGAGGUGGCAGUUUCCAGUAAUUCCAUGAAUUGAAAUCCUCCUGUGAAAACAACCGAAGAAUUGGUUCAAUAAAAGUAAUUCAAGAAUUAGUCCAAGUUCAGUUUGGAGAUUAAGAACCUGCUCGGAUGAGGUCAUGGGAGGAAACAUCCCAUUGACAAGAGUGUGAAGAGAAGUAUAAGAUUUCGUGUCGACACGGCGGUUUACAACAACCUCCCCCUACAAGCAUGAAUUUUUUUAUGAAUUCUGAUGCUACCAAGUAAUAUAAGAUUAUUCUGUUUUUCAACUCAUAUUCAUGAAUCCCCCCCCCUAAAUACCUUGGGAUUAAUAAUGAAAAUUUUUCCUUUUGGAAUUCCAACUUUAAGGUAGCUAAAUUCAUCCGUGUCCCUGUUUCCAAACCCAGCAUAAAAUGGAUUGCAAUCUGGAGGAAAUAGUUCUCGAAUUCUCUAAAAGUUACAAAAAGCAGACUAUGAGCCAUCUUAUUCAGAAGUCAGAUCACAUGUAAACAUAUGAUAUUCAAAAUUUCUAAUUUGAGGGAUUGUAUCCAGAAAAUUGCUUAAUUCCAAGUAAAAAUACAUUUUUAACAGUCAUGCAUCGAAACUGCAGCUCAUCAAAGUAUACUUAUGAAAAUGAAGAAUGUAAAAUUUGUAUAAGUUUCAAUAUCAAAGAAAAAUAUCAACAAAGAUAGAAGAAACUAACCUCCAAGCAAGCAAUCUUGAACUCAUGAGGAGCCCGCCUAAUAACUGUGAAGGAGGAAAUGAGCUCAAAGGUAUUUAUUCACAAAUCCAAGCAUGCCUAGCCUAUUUAUAUGUUUUUCAAUUAUUGCAUUGUUAAGAACUUUUCUCUUCAAAUUAUGCUUACAACCCAUUCUCCACAAUUAGCCAGGAAAACUUCACGCACCCCAAAGCUAGAAUUAGGAGAUAGGUUUUUUUACCAGAAAGCUUAAUUUUAAGUUUUUUUCCAAGGAAAGCAUCCCCUGCUCUAUACCCUCCCUCUACCCCGGGCAUAUGCUUUCAAUAAACCAGGCAUUUAGAAUCACAAGAUGGAUGCAAAUGCCGGAGACUCUUAAAAGGCCAAAGGAUUUGAAGGACUCUGCUAAAGUAUGUGUAUUUCAAGGGAAAAACAUACUGCAUCAAACUACUAAAUAGUUGCAAUUUCCUAGUUUAAAUAUAAACAAUAAAUCUAAGAAUACAUUCAAUAACCAAAACUUUCUCCAGAACAUCUAGCAAUUUACUAAAAUCUAGACUUAGAAGAGAGAAGUGUUGAAUAGUAAUUCUCAAAAGCAUAAAUAGGAGGGAAAAGCUAUAAUAUGUUUCACGUAAUUUCUAACUAAGAGAAGGGAUAAAAGGCAGUAACCUUCACGAUAUAGUGAAGGGAAAAGCCCAUCAGGGGAGAUAACAACAGGCCCCUCUGGUAAAGCCUUCCCAUCCUGCAUUGAUACAAACCAGGUAAAGAUCAAUCGUGGAGUAGUCAAGAAUUUAAGCUCUAAAUAGUGAAUACAUUACUUGUUUAAGGUUGAAAAGAAAUUGACGGGUGUGAUACGCCUGAGAAAUUGAUCGUGCACUGAGAAAAAGCAAUUGGUACCCAUUUUCCUGAAAAGAUAUAAAAAUAAAUUAAAUUGGGAGAGUUCAUUGCAUCAUAAUUCAUCACAUACGAUCGUCCAACUAAUGAGGAUGGGAUAAAAGCUUACCUUAAUAGCAGAAAAUAAAUUUGUGACACCUGUUUGUGACCAAUCCAUUCCAACAAAGGGCAUGAAUUGACCCAGAACAUCCGACCUAAGAAAGUGACAGAAGAGGAAAAAGUAAAGAGAGUGAGCACAAGAGAGGAAAAAAAAGAAGAAAAAAGGGUAAAUAUUUGUUUAAGUCCCGUUUGAUAACUUCUUUUUUAGAAAUUGACUAAGAAUUCAAGUGUUUCUGUAAGGAAGUUGAAAGUCGUAGCUUGGAACUUGAGAGGAAACAAGCAUGAAUUUCAAAUUCAGAAAACUAAAAAUUAAAUCAUCGUCAAAUGAGGUUUGAGCUGUUUAUUGUGCAAGAACAUUUGGCAAAACAAGAAAGAACUCCAUUGACUGAAAAGCUAACGGUACAAAUAAGCCAGACUUGAACAAAUGAUAGAAAAGCAAGGAAAAUUUACUGUGGAAAAUUUCUGUUUUCAUUUUCUUUCUUUAAUGGCAAAAAAAAACAGUGAUUAAUUAAUAAUAGAAUGGAAAGUGAAACAAAUCACCAAUGUAAUAACAAAUAUGGGAAUCCUCCUACACUGCGUACAAACAAAAGAAAUACUAAAAUCAAAAGAUUUGACUUUCUUCAGCUAUAACCAAAAAUGGACUCUAGUUCAAUAGGUUCGACAUCUUCCUAAAAGUCUUCCUUUUCUUUACCACCGGAUGAUCAAAUAACAUGAACAAACUGCUGAACCGUACAUUUCUGAAGAGUACCACUCUUCUUUGACGUCAUUCCACCAAAAAUAAAGUUCAACAGCCACCAAACCAGCCAAGUAGUAAUUCAGGCUUCUCAUCUCUCAGUUACAUACUAUUUUGCAGCCCUAUUUAUACAAUGAACAGAAAGUUCAUCAUCAAAACUCUAUUCUGAAAAGUUUACCCAACCACCAUUGUAUUCUCUGAACAGCCAACAGGCGAAAAGCAUUUAUCUGAUUUCUUAUGAUCUGAAUUUCAAGGAGUCAGUGAUGGUUAAAUUCCUGCAUUGGCAAUACAGUUGGCUUGUGUUUCCCAAGCUUGCAUGAAAACUUCCUACUAACAUAGAAAUUAGGAAGUGUUCAAGAACUACCUAUUCAUGUUUAGUUCACAAAGGUUUCGUUUCUGCAGCUGGAGAAUUUAACCCUAAUAUAAUUUUCCCACAACUGAAUCGCUAAGUGAAUAAUGAAGAAAACUCGUGUACAAGAAACUUGAUUCCAGGGCUUUUUUUCUUCCGAUAAGAAACAAACGUCCAAUAUCAAAGAGAAUGUUAAUUUGAUGGCAGAAGAUUCUAAUGACUCAACCAAGUGCCCUGUUUUCAUUCUGGAAAGGUAUAUAAAGGAGCCAACAACUGGAGCAAAUAAUACCAAACAAGAGUUACUCUGCAUAAAUAAAACUAUGCUCAAAAUCAGUAUAUCACAUCCAAAAUCAUCAGGAUAAAAGAACAUACUUUGUUAUUGUCCCAUCCACAUCUGAUAUCACUACACGAGUAUUCCAUUUCCAUAAAUAAAUCCGGGCAUCAACCUAUUCAGAAACAUAAUCAUAAACAAAUGCAAAUAUGAAGGGAAAUAAAUAAAGAAAUAGGACAGGGGUGGCU